rnacentral:lncRNA from 1 species
ACAAAGGAUCAAAUAUCAUACGUAAUAUCUUUUGACCGCAUCAACAUUGAUAGCCAUUUCUACCAUUUUGCCUUCAAUAUCUGUCAAAUAUAAGGCUCCAUUGGGCAACACUUUCUUCAUAACGAAGGGACCUUGCCAGUUGGGGAGAACUUGCCUUUCGCUUCAACCUGGUGAUGAAGGAUACAUCUCAAUACCAACUGACCAAGUUCAAAAUUUCUGGGAUGGACCUUUUUGUUAUACGCUCGAGCCAUCCUUCUCUGAUACAACUGGCCGUGACACACAGACGUUAGCUUUUUUUCCUCAAUCAAACUCAAAUGUUCCAGUCGAGUUUUUUCCCAUUCGUCAUCAUCAAUCUCUACUUCUAUAAUGACUCGAAGAGAGGGAAUUUCAACUUCUGCAGGGAUGACCGCUUCUGUCCCAUACACUAAUAAAUAUGGAGUUGCCCCUGUUGAAGUGCGAACGGUGGUGCGAUAACCUAGCAAUGCAAAUGACAACUUUUCAUGCCACUGUCUAGACCCUUGUACCAUUUUUUGCAGUAUCUUUUUUCUAUUCUUAUUGACGGCUUCUACAGCACCAUUGGCCUUUAGGCGAUACGGAGUAGAAUUUCGAUGUGCAAUCUUAAAUUGUUGACAUACUUCUUGCAUUAAAUGACUAUUGAGAUUGGUAGCAUUGUCUGUAAUGAUCAUCUUAGGAAUUUUAAAUCUACAAAUGAUAUUGGCAUGAACAAAUUCUACCACAGCCUUCUUUGUCACUGACUUGAAAGUUACUGCUUCUACCCACUUUGUGAAGUAGUCAAUGGCUACCAAAAUGAAUCUAUGUCUAAUUGAUGCCUUCGGGUCAAUCGGUCCAAUCACAUCCAUCCCCUAAGCCACGAAUGGCCAUGGAACGGCCAUUGCAUGCAAUUCAACAGGAGGAGAACAUAUCAGAUCACCGUGUACCUGACAUUGAUGACACUUUCGAACAAAUUGAAUAGAAUUCCUUUCCAUAGUAAGCUAGUAAUAACCUGCUCGAAGAAUCUUCUUUGACAAGACAUGACUGUUCAUAUGCGACCCGCAUACUUCAGAGUGUAUUUCAACCAUGAUUGCCGAGGCUUCUUUUGCAUCUACACACCUUAAAAGUCCGAGAUCUGGGGUCCUCUUAUACAAGAUUCCCCCACUUAAGAAAAUUCCACUAGCCAAAUGCCUGAUAGUCCUCUUUUGAUCGUUGGUGGCGUAUGCUGGGUAUUCUCCUGACUGAAUGUACCGCUUGAUAUCCAAGAACCAGGGUUCUCCAUUGAGCUCUUCUUCAACUGCAUUACAGUAAGCAUGCUGAUCACGACUCUGUAUAUGCACUGGAUCGAUGUAGGCUUUAUCAGGAUGUUGGAGCAUUGAAGAUAGAGUGGCUAAGGCAUCAGCAAUUUCAUUAUGAAUCCUUGGAAUAUGCCUAAAUUUUAUUAACACAAAUCGUUGACGUAGCUCCUGCAAGCAUUGUCGAUACGGGAUGAGCUUCAAAUCUCGCGUCUCCCAAUCGCCUUAAAUUUGAUGGAUGAGCAAAUCCGAAUCUCCCAACACUAAUAAUUCCUGGACUCCCAUAUCAACAGCUAACCUCAAACCAAGAAUGCAGGCUUCAUACUCUGCCAUAUUGUUAGUACAGUAGAAUCGAAGUUGUGCUGUUACCGGGAAAUGUUGUCCCAAUUUAGAGAUAAGAACUGCACCUAUUCUGACUCCUUUCAUGUUGACAGCUCCAUCAAAAAAUAACCUUCAACCAGGAUCAGCAUCUGUAACGACUUCAUCGACACACGACACUUCUUCGUCAGGAAAAUAUGUCUUUAAUGGCUCGUACUCUUCAUAGAUAGGGUUCUCAGCAAGAGGAUCUGCCAAGGCUUGGGCUUUCAUGGCAGUUUGAGUCACAUAUACAAUGUCGAACUCGGUAAGCAAUAUUCGUCAUUUUGCCAAUCGACCCGUCGGCAUAGGCUUCUGAAAGAUAUACUUCAAAGAAUCCAUGCGGGAGAUGAGAUAAGUAGUAUAGGAUGAGAGUUAAUGCUUCAACUUCUGUGCUACCCAAGUUAGGGCACAACACGUCCUUUUAAGAAGAGUAUACCUGGUCUCAUAAAUGGUAAACUUCUUGCAAAGAUAAUAAAUAGCCUGCUCCUUUUUGCCUGUGACAUCAUGUUGACCCAGGACACAACCGAAAGAAUUAUCCAUGGCUGAUAAAUAUAAGAUCAAAGGCCUACCAGGCUCCGGGGGUACCAGCACAGGUGGAUUUAACAAAUAUCUCUUGAUUCGAUCAAAUGUUUCCUGACAUUCUUCAGUCCAUUUUACCGCAACACUCUUUUUCAGCAACUUGAAUAUGGGCUCACAGGUGGUUGUGAGUUGAGCAAUAAACCUGCUAAUGUAGUUCAAUCUACCAAGAAAACUCAUCACCUCCGUUCUAUUCUUGGGCGGGGGCAAAUCCUGAAUGGCUUUGAUUUUCGAGGGAUUCAAUUCAAUUCUCCGACAGCUAACUACAAACCCCAACAGCUUUCUAGAUGGAACUCCAAAUACACAUUUCACCGAGUUGAGUUUGAGAUUAUACCUGCGAAGCCUUUCAAAGAACUUUCUUAAAUCUUUAACAUGGUCGGCCUGACUUUUUGACUUAAUAAUCACAUCAUCUACGUAGACCAUAAUCUCUUUAUGUAUCAUGUCAUGAAACAUAGUGGUCAUGGCUCUCAUAUAUGUUGCUCCAGUAUUCUUCAAACCGAACGGCAUCACUCGAUAAUAAUAAGUUCCCCAUGGUGUGAUAAAAGACGUCUUCUCUGCGUUGUCGUCAUCCAUAAUGAUCUAGUGAUAUCCGGCAUAGCAAUCCACAAAAGAGGCGACCUCGUGUUUAGCACAGUUGUCUAACAAAAUGUGAAUGUUGGGCAGUGGAAAAUCAUCUUUCGGACUUGCUCUGUUCAAAUCACGGUAAUCAACACACACUCGAAUUUUGCCAUCUUUCUUUGGUAUGGGAACAACAUUGGAUAACCUUUCCUCUUUAAUUUUAAUACUUACAUCUGUUUUAAACUUCCUCAACUUCUGUUUGACGGGAGGGAACGCGGGAUCUGUUGAGCCACUAACUCAGUGCUUAAACCAGGCAUAUCAUCAUAAGACCAUGCAAAAACAUCUGUAUAAUCCAUUAAUACUUGAAUCAUUUCAUCUUUUAGCUGUGGCAAAACAUGUACACUGGUUUUAGUUUCCCUAACAUCUUCUUGAUCCCCUAGAUUUAUCGGCUCAGUCUCAUUCAAAUUAGGAUUUGAUUUGUCUUCAAAUUGUUCCAACUCUUUGCUUAUUUCUUCUAGUUCUUCUUUUUCAUCAUAUUCCCCAUCCUGCUCCAUUACAUCUAUAUUAGUUUAGAUUUUAAGAUUAGGCUGAAAAUUCUGCAUGCAUGUCAUAUCAUUAGAAUCAGCAUAAAGAAAACUGUGUAAGAAAAGAAAAACAAAAUAUAUUACACACGAAACAAAAGGGACAUUGCAUUUCAUUAAAUAAAAAAAUAGAAGGGUUUAAACACAGAUGCCAAGAUAACAUGAACAAACUAAAAUCCGAAUUACAACCCUGAAAUAACUCGGAUAAACAGAAAGAAAAAUAAAACAAACUACCAAAACUCCCUACUGACGGGGAGAGGAGUGACUUCCCAAUUAUUGAGCCGGACAGCUGGACCUAUGAAUUGCACGUCUGCCAUACCGGUACCUUCUCCUGCUUCGACCAUAUCAACUUCAAUACAAAGAUUCUGGAAGUCAUCAACCAAUUCAACCUCAAGUCCCACAUGCUUCGUGACACCCCUCUUAACAAAUAAUUCACUGAUUAGUGGCAUUGGGCGAGGGAGUGACCAUAUUUUCUUUUUUCUUCCCUUGGCUUUCUUCAGAUCUUCAGCUGUAGGCUCAAAUCCCAGACCAAACGUGUCCGCGUUCUCACUCGGACAUAUGGGAUGAACUAUACCGUGCAGAGAUGCUCCCAAACCUUUUCCUGGCUCAAAACCGUAUUUCCACAGUUCGCUCACCAUCAUGAUAGAAGCAGAAGACAAUUGCGGUCCCGGUAUANNNNNNNNNNNNNNNNNNNNNNNNNNNNNNNNNNNNNNNNNNNNNNNNNNNNNNNNUCUACGUUAUUUGCUUCAAUAAGAGACAAGGGAGAAUCUUCGUAGGCUGACAAAUCUCCUUCACCAUGAAUAACUACUUCUUGUCUGUCAUGCUCAAACUUAAUCAUUUGAUGCAGUGUAGAUGCAUCCGCCUUGGCCUUGUGGAUCCACGGCCUGCCCAACAAUACUUGAAACUCUAUCGCGAACUCAACAGGCCCUAUGGUCAACAUUAGUUCUAUUUCACCAAUGGAAUUUGAUUUUGCACCAUCGAAAGCCCUAACACAUACAUUGUUGGGCCUGAUCCUGUCAGCACCAAUAUUCAAGUUUUGAAAAGUAGAAAUAGGGCAAAUAUCUGCACCUGAACCUCCAUCAAUCAUAACAUGAGUGACGUAGAAAUCCUCACACUUCACUAUAAUGUAAAGGCCCCAAUUAUGCCCUGUACCUUCAACAGGCAAUUCAUCGUCAGAAAAGCUGAUCCGAUUGACCUCAAAGAUUUUUCCAACCAUUUUCUCAAGUUGGUUGAUUGUAAUCUCCCUUGGAACAUAUGAUUCAUUUAAUACCUUCAGUAAAACAUCACGAUGCUCCUUGAAGUGCAACAGCAAAGAUAAAAGGGAAAUUUGAGCAGGGGUUUUCUUCAACUGGUCUAAUAUUGAAUACUCUGGCAAUUUCAUCUUUUUCAAAAAUUCUUCUGCUUCUUCUUUAGUGAUAGGCUUUUUGAUAGACGAAGGUCCACUCACCGUUGGCUUGGACUUUCUUAAGCUUUCAGGCACGAAGCAUCUUCCUGACCUAGUCAAACCUCCUACCUUAUCUAUAUCUUCCACAACUUCUUUGUCGUGAUAGGACAUCACAGUCCGCCUAUAAUUCCAGGGAAUCCUUUUCGUAUCAACUAUCGGAGGUUGGGUCACCCGUUUAAGGACAAUAGGCGCUACCAGUGCUCCUUUCACCGUCAAGAUGGGUUGACUCAGAGCUCCCACUACUGUCAACUUGGGAUUAUCCUGACUUGAAUCAACAUGCCUUCUGGCUCCUUGUACUGUGAUCAGGGGUUUUUUGGUGCUUUCUUGGGCUUUAUCUUCUCUUAUUCCUUCCCAGUUCAAUGACAUUGCUUUCAAAGAUUCUGCUACAUUCACCGAUUUCUCUUCAGUGGUCUGUAUCUGGACAAUAGGCUUAUAGUCCCUCGAAGACUCUUUCCCGUCAUAUAUCACAAUUCUAGCAUAUUGGCUUCAGCAUGGGUUGGCAGCGGAUUUUGGUUAAUGUUUAGACCUUCUGGGGCCUGGACCAGCAUCUGAUUUGUGUUAAUUAAAUCUUGGACAUCUCUCUUUAAAUACCAACAUUUCUCGAUAUCGUGGCCUGACAUAUCAGAACAGUACGCAUACCUUAAAGAAUAAUCGAGAUUCCUCGACGGUAGAUUUGAAAGCCUUCCUUGAAUUGGGCUUAAAACCUUCAACUUUCUCAACCUAUCAAACAAGCUAGCAUAUGACUCCCCAAGAGGUGUGAAUUGAUUUUUGACCGCCUUCUCCUUCUUAUACUCGAUCCUAGGCUGAAAAUUGGGUCUGGAGGGGUUUUGGUAAUUUGGUGGGGCGAAUGGGCAAUUUUGUGGAGCUUGUGCGCACCAUUACGGGAAAGAAGAGGUUUGGGCAUAUGGUUGCGCACUAUAUACUGGGUUCCUCUUUUUUCUUUCUACCUCCAAAUGCGCCAGAUCUACCUUGAAUCUUUUGUGUGGUGGCUUUUAAUGCGGCAAAACUCACUAUUCGGCCGGUCUUAAUUCCAUCCUCUAUCAUCUCCCCCAAUUUGAGUACUCCAUAAAAGACUUUCCCAUUGCCGGAAGUAACUGUUGAAAAUAGGUCUCAUCCUGUGCCUGAAUGAAAACUUCUACCAAAUUACUUUCUGUCAUUGGAGGCUUUACCCUGGCGGCCUGUUCACGCCAACUUAUCGCGUAUUCUCUAAAACCUUCAGUGCUCUUUUUUUUCAUGUUGAUCAAGGAUUUUUUGUCUGGAAUCAGGUCAAAGUUGUACUGAAAAUAUUGAACAAAUUCAUAAGCCAAGUCAUCCCAGCUGUUCCAUUUAUCGAUAUCUCGAUAGAUAAACCAUUCCGAGGCCAGAUCAGAAAGACUCUCGCCAAAGAAAGCCAUGAGCAGUUCUUCCUUUCCUCCUGCAGCCCUCAACUGGUUGCAAUAACGUCUCAAGUAUGCAACGGAAUCACCGUGUCCUGCAUACUUCUCGAACUUAGGCAUCUUAAAACCGAGGGGAAGGUUGAUGUCUGGGAACAUGCAAAGAUCUUUAUAGGAAACACUCCUAUAAUCUCUGAUUCCUUGCAAAUUCCUCAUAGCCUGUUCUAAACUUUUCAAUUUCCGGGCUAUGAUAUCCUGUUCCUCCAUUGCGACAGGUUUCUCUGUAUCAAAUGGAAAUGCAGGCGGUUGAGUGUAUCCAUACGGUUUAUUCAUUUGCAAAGUAGGCUCCGGGGCAUAAUACUGACCAUCUGAAACCUUCAGUACUGGCUCACUGGCGGACCUAGGAAGCUUCAUUGUGGGACGCACAACAUAUAUGAGAGUUUCAUGUGGUGGCGGAUCCACGAAUACCGGUGUGAUCGGUGGCGCUGGCUGAGCAGCGGGUCUCAAUUGGGGAGCUGCCAAGGGCACACUAGAACUUCCAGGAUAAUAAUGUCGCAGAGUGAAUCUCGGCACGUGGUCGGGUGACUCAGUAGGAGCGGAGAAUUUCGCAUGAGGGAGCGGUGGGCAAUUAGAGAUAUUUCCAAGACCUUCAGGGAGCAGAGGAGGAGGCAUUUCGCUGGCCCAUGCCUGGUGUAAAUCUAUCAAUUGUGCUGAGCCUUACCACCUCAUCAUUGUGUUCAGAACUUUCUUCCCUGUGAUCCUGAUCUGGGUCAAUGAGUAAAUUUUCAAUUUCCCUGCUAGCCAUGGCGAACUUUGCUUUGGAUCUGGUGAAGUAUGGGUGACUAGCCAGAGUGCUGCAAACCUACCACUGUUUAUCUGAAAGAACAUGCUCAUCAAAGACGACAUCCGUUAGGAUUAGGGCACACAACAAACAUGGGAAUCACAUUUGACAAAAUUGUCCUAAAUUCAUGUUCAUUUCUACCAGCUUUUGAGGGGAUCGAGGUCAUUUUAAUAUCAUCCUGAUUUUUGUCUACACUUAUUUUCUACACUUAUUAUUAUUAUUAUUAUUUCGUAUCUAUCUCCAUUCUCUUCUUUUCUCUCGUUAUCUACCUUUAUUUUAUCAUUCUUUAUGACUUUUGUUUUUCUUUAAAAGAGAAAAAAUAAUGAAAAACAACAAAACAAAAUGAUUAGAUCGAACCCAAAAGUAGGUUGCCUACGUAUCAUGUUGUACAUGAAUCAAAUGUUGCGUAGUUUGGGCGGCAUGUGCAUAAAUAUCACUCAAUUUUUUUCUUUAUGAAAACAAAACGAAAAUACAUAAACAAAGGAAAGACGUAACAUCAUAACCUUGUGAAGAAAGAAAACAACAAAACAUAUAAAAAGUUUGGGACCACUGUAAAAUUAAAAAAACGACUACGAACAACACUAUAGACCCCUAAGACGAUACAGGUGAAAUUACUAAUAAAGACUCUAAUACCCAAAACAACUUGACUUCGACUUAAAACCUACACCACCCUACAAUGACAGACACAUAAAAGACUCAAACUGAAUAAAGAUAAGAAGUGCUCUUUCAGACUGGUGCUUUGCGUGAUGACCCUGGCUAAUAUGGACCUGCCUUUGAAGUUCUCUUUCUCCCAUUUAAACUUUGUAGCAUAUCAUGUAAAGACACCCUGAUAUCGGGGAAGAAGCUUUGGGCCCGUAGUCCUGCUUCAUGAGGAGUGCACUUGGAAAGAUUAUUCUGACACCUUUCUACUAUCUUGAACAAAUCUGCUAGCUGAAUCCUCAGUGUUUCCACUUUGGACCGUACACUUUCAUCUUGAUGAUCGUUUACUAUGCAUUCUUCCUGUAUUCUCCCUCUAAGUUGCGCUGGUAAGGGUUGACUGAUACCCCGAGGGACAGAUUGAAGCCAGACCUUAUAUCCCUGAGUGUGGCCCAGAUUAUCCAAACUUUCUUUGAAUGUGUCCACACCUAGCUUUAUUGCAUGCUUCCAAAACUGCUCAUACCUGCUCUCACCUAAGGCUUGGUCCUUGAAGUAUUCAACAUCCUUCAGAAGAUCCACUGCCGGUGGCACGUCCUGUGGCCUACCUAACUGGAGCAUUACCCUAGAAGGAUUGUAUGGUCUAGUACAAUUGAUCCCUAACAUAACUAAAGGGAACUGCGUCUGACAACCCAACAAGAUUAUCUUCGAUCGAAGCCACAGAUAGGUCCACAAAAUGUUAUCCUCGGUUCUUGAUUCAAGCAAUUCAAUCCAAGCCUCGACUCCCACAGGUAGCGAGAAUUUGUCCAAACGCAACCUGGAAUCCAUGACUUUCACUCGAUUGGGAAUAUAACGAUCUAACACGUCUGGUCUAACUAAAGAAGGUGCAUGCAAGUGCUCCAUCAUCCAUAACUGCAAUAUCAGGUUACUGCCCUCGAAAAAUCUCCUUCCCCCCUUCACUUAGGUUAAAGCCUUAUAUAUUUCUGUUAAGAUCAUGGGUAUGAGANNNNNNNNNNNNNNNNNNNNNNNNNNNNNNNNNNNNNNNNNNNNNNNNNNNNNNNNNNNNNNNNNNNNNNNNNNNNNNNNNNNNNNNNNNNNNNNNNNNNNNNNNNNNNNNNNNNNNNNNNNNNNNNNNNNNNNNNNNNNNNNNNNNNNNNNNNNNNNNNNNNNNNNNNNNNNNNNNNNNNNNNNNNNNNNNNNNNNNNNNNNNNNNNNNNNNNNNNNNNNNNNNNNNNNNNNNNNNNNNNNNNNNNNNNNNNNNNNNNNNNNNNNNNNNNNNNNNNNNNNNNNNNNNNNNNNNNNNNNCAAAGCGAGGGUGAAGACUUCAAGACGCUUUCUCUCCCACUUCUCGUUAGUCACAUGAAAUUCAUUCCAAAAGCAAUCAAAACCUUCCGAGGGCCCAAAUCUAGCGAACAAAAAGUCUAAGGAAACCCACGAAUCACUUAAACAACCCAAAUGCAUACCCUUACUUUUAAAACCACAAGACUGCAAAAAUCUAACGCCAGUAUGAUUUCGUGCUCGGAUCAUAUCCUUCUAGAUAUAGGGCAAAUGCAACAAACCGGAUAUUUCUGCCAAAGUAGGAAUCACUUCACAUUCCCCAAACCUGAAUACCAAACUACUCGGAUCCCAAAAGGUCAACAAGGCCUCUAUUAAAUCUGGACGAGGGGUAACAUGCAGAAGUUCCGUAAGAACACCUAAUAUUUUAAUCAGUUUCUGCUGAUCAACAUAGUUAAACAUUUCUCACCAUUUGAUUAACUUUUUGGGCAUCUUGACAACCAUCAGGACUCUAGACUUGGUGGACAAAUCCAUCCUGUAAUAACACACAAGACGUUACCUCAAAAAUUCGAUAGGAGUAGAAGAUUCCUAACCCUUGGGAUUUUUGACGCCAACAUAUGUCGAUGGGACAGACCACAUUCAUGACUCCAAUUUGCCGAAUAGAAGUACUGAGCAAAAUCAGUCUACUUGGCAAACAACUCUAGAUUACGGGACGAGAGACCUAGACUAACACUAAGACCAAGGCCGACACAAAAAUUACCAAACCCGCUGAGGGUUGCCUACGUAUCCCAAUCCGAGGGAAGGGAAUCAGGUAUGCGUAGUUCAUUCAGAUUGGACAGUUAACGAUUAACUAAUAAAUUGGCCCUAACUUAAGAGACACAAUCAAAACAAACGAAUAAAAACUAUUUGGAUUUUCAACUAGACACUUUAACCGAGACUGACACCACCAAUUAUAUAGAAAAAUCUUUUUGGAUUUUUUUUUUACAAUUAAGUAGAGAAAGCAAACAAGACUCCUUUUUCCUUUUCUCUUCAUUUUUCUUUUUUUGAAUUUACGGUACUUUACAAAACAUAAAAUUUUUUUUUUUGAGUUUUUGGAUUGUGAAAAACAAAAGCCAUAACGAAUUCUAAAAUAAACUACGACAUUCCUCUUCUUUUUUUUUCAUUCUUUUCGCCUCACUUUUUCUAUUUUUCAUUAUUUUUUUUUCGUUUUUACCUACGCACCUUACUCCUAAAUUUUUUUUUUCAAAAAUCAGUCCGUCAAAUGACCACGUUACCCUUAAAAAUGCAACAGUUAGCACGUAAGGAUGCUUUAGAGGUGAGUCUCCUACAAAGGGCNNNNNNNNNNNNNNNNNNNNNNNNNNNNNNNNNNNNNNNNNNNNNNNNNNNNNNNNNNNNNNNNNNNNNNNNNNNNNNNNNNNNNNNNNNNNNNNNNNNNNNNNNNNNNNNNNNNNNNNNNNNNNNNNNNNNNNNNNNNNNNNNNNNNNNNNNNNNNNNNNNNNNNNNNNNNNNNNNNNNNNNNNNNNNNNNNNNNNNNNNNNNNNNNNNNNNNNNNNNNNNNNNNNNNNNNNNNNNNNNNNNNNNNNNNNNNNNNNNNNNNNNNNNNNNNNNNNNNNNNNNNNNNNNNNNNNNNNNNNNNNNNNNNNNNNNNNNNNNNNNNNNNNNNNNNNNNNNNNNNNNNNNNNNNNNNNNNNNNNNNNNNNNNNNNNNNNNNNNNNNNNNNNNNNNNNNNNNNNNNNNNNNNNNNNNNNNNNNNNNNNNNNNNNNNNNNNNNNNNNNNNNNNNNNNNNNNNNNNNNNNCCCCCCCCCUCUAAAAUAAGGGUGACUCAACUAGAGGUUGUGUACAACACGUGUACUACGAACUUGUUGCAGAAAGAAGGCCGGAGGGUGGACACAUGAUGGCAGAUAUAAAGCGGUAACACAUAGGAUAAAUACUAUAAACAAAGAGCAUGAAAAAGCACAAAAAGUGAAAAUAACACAAACAAUAACCACAAACAAUGUUUAUACACUCGUAAUGCCAAACAAAGCCGAUACGACUCCAAAAAACAGCUCGAAUUCUGAAAACUUGUCAUUGGCUCCCCAGCAGAGUCGCCAGAAGCUGUCACACCCCUUUUUUACGCGUACUCCAAAAAAUGGAUAUAUUUUAAAGUUCGAAAGGGUUUUAUUAUUUAAGUGACAAGAAACGAAAAUUUGUUUCGGAAAAGGAUUAUUUACAUUUUUUAUUCAGAGUCGUCACUUGGCAUAAUCCGGUGUGCCAAGUCACCUUUGGAAAAUCCUUUUCGAAACUAUUUGACUCUUAAACUGGUUUGUGAACAGAGAUUCCGGCUAAGGAAUUCUGUUGACCGAGGGGAAGGUGUUAGGCACCCCUCGAUCCCGUGGUUCAACCACGGUCGCUUGGUAGAGUGUAUCGACUAUUUUUGGCAUUAUGAAAUGUAUAAACCACACAAAAGAACGCAAAAUAAUCAAACAAUAAACAAAACAAAGCAGUCCAAAAACGUAUAGUCCAGUCCAAUUAUACAGUCCGAAAAAUAGAAAGAUAUACAAAAAAAUAUAAAUCCUAGUCUAAACUAAAUCUAGACUAAGCUCCAUGCCUUACCCGACGCCGCAGGAUUUCAUCACGAUCAUUUUCCGCCAACAUGAUACGUCAGGCCAUUCCCCGGUGAAUAAAUACAAGUGAUCUCGGGGCAUUCCUCGGCUAAAUAAAUACAUCUAAAUUAAAUACGAUAAUCUAAAAAGAGACAUUCACACGCACAUUCCAACAUCCCACGAAACACUUAUUCCUAAAUUUCGCCUACCCGGCCUAUGUUUGCCUACCCGCUCGACAACAUACCGCAUUCAACAUUAACAAUGUAUCAAAAAUAUCAAAUAUUUACUUUUAUCAAUUUUUCGAUUCCCAUCCCCAAAUUUAUUUCAAACAAUAUGAUUAAACAUGCUUCUAUUUAUCAAUUCACUUUUCAAAGUCCGGAACCAACAUCAACCAACACAUAACACAUAUUCGAACAUACCAAACACCUAACAAAUAAAUCAUUCACACCCCCAACAUCACCAAAGUCAAAAUAAAUUAAAGAUUCGGUUAGAAGAAAUGGACCUCGAUGAAAUUGAUCCUUGUCGAUAAUAAAGAAAUUCAAAGACCAAAAUACUCGACUGGAGAACCUCACAACGAACAAACCAAAUCAAUGACCCAAAAUCAUCACCUAAAUAGAUUUCAAAUCAAGAAUAAAACCCGAAGCAUCCUAAAAAUCAGAUAGAGAAAAUGAGACCGAUUGAAACCGAACUCGAGUGAGUUGACAGCAGCCAAGACACGGUGAGUAAGGGUCGGAUUCAGGCAAAUUUUAGUGUUUCCCGUCCAAAUCUAUCCGUUUAUUGAAGAAAACCGACAAGAAUCGAACAGACGACGACCUGUAAACUACUUUCGGCUAAAGGUUCGCCGAAAAAACUCAAGAACAAUGACAGAUCUCGCACCGACUUUGCGGUUUCUGGUCGGAAUCUCAAGCUCCCUCCAAUUUUUCCAACUUCGUCCUCACAUCUUCCGCUCGAUCUUCUCUCUUUCUGUGCUACUCUCCCUUCGCUACUGAUCGGAUUCUUGCCGGAGAAAAACGGAAACAGUAGUUCCGUCUGUUCUCUCUCUCUCUCCGUCACUCUCUCUGUUAUUUUUGUUUCUCGAAUCUCCUUCCUUCUCAUAGAUAUCUCUCACUCACGGUUUUCUCUCUGUGUGUGUGCUGUGAGUGUUCUUGUCGUGUAAAAAAUGGUGAGAAGAGGAUCGAUCCGAGGGAAGGAAGAAGAUGAGUGUGCGUAUGGUGUAUGUUAAUGGAGUGGAUAGUUUUUGGAGAAGAAAAGAAAUCCAAUUUUUUCGAGAUGUGCUCUUCGUCCCCUUCCUUUUCUUGUUUCUGUUACUGUUUCUUGAUGAUGAUGGGUUCAAAAAAAUAAAAAAUGUGUAAAAAGGGUAGGGGGUAGGGUAGGGUAGGUGGGGUAACGUGGGGUAGUGAUAGUGGUGAGGUGUUAUUUUUUUAUUGGGUAGGUUGUUAGGAUAAGAUAGGAUUAGUUAUUUUAUUCUUUGUUUAUUAUUUUUUGUAUUUUGCGGGGUAUAAUGACAUGGGUGAGGGUACACGAUAGGAUAAAAUAAGAAUGGGUAAAAAUAACAUCGAGGGGAGGGGGGACGAAAUUAGGUGUCUACAACAAUCAUGGGGUUGGUGAAGUUUGCACCUACUAGAUUGACAACCUUAACUAAGAACUAAAAAAGCAAAAUCUUUUUGUAUUUUUUUUUCAAAUUUACUCAGAAACUAGAAAAAUAACUAAAAAUCAAGACCCUACAAUAUCACUUCACCUGAAACCAUGGGAAUUUUUCCCACUCCAUACUUAAAACUCACUUUGUCCCCAAAUUAAACUCAAAUGCAAGGGUAGAGAUCCUCCAUAAGGCCUCUAGGUCUAACUAGCAGCAUUUUUAUGUAGCAAGAGGGUCUGGAGACCCCAUACUUAGUCUCUACCAUGCUUCUUAACUCAAGUCUCUAGUAAUCACACUUCCCAUCAACCUGUAACUCAACAAAAAUAAAAAUUACGUGAAGUAAAAAUUAAAAUAUUAAAAAUAAAAUACCUACCUCUUAUUUGGAUUGCUUCCCAAGUCGCUCCUAAUUUAGUGUUAGGGCACAACCCCAUCACUAUGGGUGGAUCUACGUGUAAUUUAUACUAUAUAUAUAGCAUUAAAAUUUUGAUUUGGUCUCUCUCUCUAUAUAUAUAUACAUGUUAAGUACUGAACACCCUUGACACAAGGCUAAAGCUUGGUUCAGUGGUGAAGGGGUGCAAAAUUUCUCAAUCCGUGUGGGUUCGAGUUUGAAUAACAUUAUUUUUUUCAAUCUUUUAUAUUAGGUUUUGAAUUAAAUCCUUAGUUACUUUCUUGCUCUCUUACAUUUUGUCCCCUUUUAUUUUCGCUUCUCUCUCACUUUUUCUAUUCCCUUUUGUUUUCUCUUCACUCACUUUCAUGGUUACUAAUUUGAUGAUUGACUUCUUUUUUUAUUUUUUCACAAAAUUACACUAUAUACUUUUAUUUGUUGUUUAGUUAUUUUGACUAAUUUAAAAUAGUUUACAUCUUUUCUUCUUAAAAUUAAGGAAAAAUUAGUAUUAGUUUUAUCAUGUUAAUGUAUAAACAACUUAAACGUAAGUACAAUUCUAAUAACUUAUUGUACUUUUUUAUGUAGUUUCUAAAUAUGUAAAUUAUUUUUAAAAAUUUUAAAGAUUGUAUGUCUGAACGCACGAUCAAAAUAAAGAAGUUUAACUUCUCCGUUUUGUUGUUCAUGUUGAGGUAGAGUUGAACUUUGUCUAGCUCGCUCAAAUCAAAUGCGAUCCGCUUAUAUCUGAUUCAAUCCGCUUAUUUUUGAGGUCCUGUUAACAUGCUUAGUUAUUUUUUUAAUUCUCUUUAAUAGAAAUCCUGACUCCACCAUUGAUGGCACGCCACCAUACUUUUAACAAAUUUUAAUGGAUUAAAAUUUACAUACAUUCGAUAUAUAUAUUAAGUCAAUACAUGUAUAUUAUGUGUUUAAAUUACAUGUAUAUUAUGUAUUUAAAUUUAAAAUUUAUGUUACUUAAUCAUAAUUAAUUAACAUAUAUUUUAUUUUAUUUAAUUAUUUAAUUAUAUAAAAAAUAUUAAUUUAAUAUAUACACCAAAUUACUCAUUUUAGUAUGUAGGAUUCUCCCAGAAGAUUUGGUUCUCUAGCUCUUUAUGAAUUUAAUUUUAAUUUUAUAUUCCUUUUAUCAGAGAUAUUUAUAAUAAUUUAUACAUAAGAGAUAUUUGAAAUAAAAUUAAAGUUCGCUCAAAGCUUCAAACACUAAACUCUAUUGAAGAUCUCGAAAUCAUCACCAACCAUUAUACAAUGAUGUUAAUGGAACUCACUAGAAAUCUCUUGAUUCUCUCCGUUUUAAAAUAAUUUAUUUUAAAUUAGUUAUCUUGUUUUUGAAAUCAAGAGAAUAUUAUUAUGUUCUUUAAAUCAUAAUUAAUAAGGUUGAUUUGAUAAAAUAAACUUCUAGUAAUAAAUUUUUUAUUAAAAAAAAUAUCAAUUCAAUAAGGAUCAAUUAUUUUGAAUAGAGGGAAUACACUAUAUUACAUUUUCCAAUUAUUAAAAUCAAGGCAAUUUGAUCUCAUAUUUCAAUUCAAGAUUGAAACGGAAUUUCAAGAAUAUUAGAAGAAUUCUCCAAUUUCAUGAUGACUAUUAGAUUGAGAACCAUAUAUCAAAAGAAUUGUUUGAAUGUAACCACUUUUAUCUCGAAAUUUAAUACUAUAAAUUUGAGUCAUCAAAAAAGCAUAAAAGGCGAAAAGCUUCAACAAAAAGAUUAAAAAAUAAAUAGUGACUUGACUAUAAAAAAAUAUUAUCUCUAAUUCCAUCCCCCUUGAUUAGUAUUUUGGAUAUGACUUGAUACUUAUGGUUGUGUUGUCUUCACAUUCAUAUUUUCUUCAAUAAGUACAAUAAUAUUCCAUACCACCUUACAGUAAUAUUUGUUUAAUUUAAAAAAUUAAUUAUUUUGUGUCAAUUUUAUUUUGCUAUGAAAUAGUCUCGUCAUUUCUUUAUAAGUGCUCUUUUUGAGUUGCUAAUUUUGUUUUCAAAUAUAUAUAAGUGCAUGUUUAAGACUUCAAAAAUACUUUGAUCGUAAUCUUCCUUAUAUGCUCUUAGAUUUAAAUAUAGUAAUCCAUGUCAACUUAAAAAGAAGUGAGAUUUCAUUAGAGGUAAGUUGAUAACGUUAUCUUUAAAUUUUUAGGAGUGAAUAGUUUAUUAAAAGAUAUACCUUAGUAAAAAAAUAGCGCUUAUUUAUAAAUGAAUGAAAAUACUAUUCAUUAUUUAAUGUAUUUUUCAAAGGACUAAAUUUACUAUAUUCAAAAAAAAUAUAGUAAGAAAUUAUCUUUAUUAUUUAUUAUUUAUAUUAAAUUAAUACUAAACAUAUAAAUAAAGAUAAACGGAAGAAGUAACUUAGAAAAUGGAAAUGCAGCAAACUCUGAAUAUAUGGUUGAACUUUCUUUCUUGUAACAUCAUUGAUUAACGCAGAUAUUAUUGAAUUUAAUGAGUUCUUAAUUGUACUCUAUCCGUAUGUUUUUACUUGUCAUAAUUUGAUUUGACAUAUCAAUUAAGAAAAAUAAUUAAUAAUAUGAUUAUUUUAUAAUAAUAUUCUUAUUAAAUGAUGUUUAUAUUGUCUUUUAUUAAUAUGUCUAAAAUGGAACCUCAAGACCAAAAUGAGGUACAAAAUAAAAAAAAGUGAUUAAAAUAGGCUAUUUAUUUAAAAAGUUACUAAAGUAGGCUAAACGUAAUAAUUUAUUAUGUUUUUUUACUUUUUUUAAACGGUCAAUUAACGAAAUUAACUUUUUAAAAAACGUAAGAAAUUAUUACAUUUUACAUAUUUAUUUGUAAAACGUAAUAAUUUCUUGCGUUUUGUCAUAAAAAUAUAUAAAACGUAAGAAAUUAUUAUGUUUUACACGAAAAUUGAGGUAAAAAAGACAAUUAUUUUUCACAUCACUAAAAAAUAUCGGAAACAGCCUCCCAGACCUCACUAUGUGGGAAUACACUGGGUUUGUUGUUGUUGUAAAAAUCAUAGUAUAUAUAAAAUUUAUACUAUAUUAAAUAUUUUUUAAUUGAAUACACAUCUCGCUAAAUAGUUAAUAAUUGUUAAUUUUUAUUCUCAAUUCUUACAUUUUGGAGUAUGUUAUGACUAUAAAAUUAUUUAUAUAUACGUUGUAUGUUAUGACUGAGAAUUACAUGUACAAUAAUCGAUAAUAUAGAUAUAAAAAUUAUAUCAUACGUAUUAAUUAAUUAAAUAGGAAUUGAAAAUGACAAACUCAAACAUAUAUAAUAAAAAUAAUGUAAAAAAAGAAAAAUCAGACUUAAUACAACCAAACAAAUGACCUCUAAAUAUAUUACAUGUGUCUUCCAAUAUACUUCUACUAUUUAUGUUAGUGUGAUUAACAUAAAAGAGCAAAAAAGGAAAUGUGGGGACAAUUUACAGCUAUAUCAAUUUUUUAAGUUGGCGCAUGUGCAAGAAAAAAUUAUUCAAUUUUAUUUUAUUUAAUCCCCAUUUGAUAUACUCCUCAGGUGGCCCACGUGCAAAGGGGGGACAACGUAAGUUUUAGAAAAUGUUACUUUUUUUUUUUUUUUUUAGUGAUGAGAUAAAUCAUUAUUUUUUUUAUAUUUUUUUUACGUUUUAUAUAUUUUUCUGAUAAAACGUAAGAAAUUAUUAUAUUUUAUAAAUAAAUAUAUAAAACGUAAUAAUUUCUUAUGUUUUUAAAAAAGUUAACUCGGUUAGUUGAUUGUUAAGAAAAAAGUGAAAAACGUAAUAAAUUAUUACGUUUAGCCUAUUUUGGUAAUUUUUUUAAAUAAAUGGCCUAUUUUGGUCACUUUUUUUUUAUUUUGUGGCUUAUUUUAGUUUUGAGUUCUCUAAAAUGACAAGUAAAAAUAGAAAUAAAAUUAAGAAAUUUAUGACAACCACAAGUAAAAAUGAAAGGAGAGAGUAUAAGACAAAAGAAAUAAUAUCCAUGAGUUCCAUAUUUUCAUUGUACACAAAGUUAAUUGGAGUUGUAUUAAAUUUUGAUUUCCUUUCAUCUUUAUUUCUCCAAUUAUACUAAAAUUGACUAUAUGUUUCAUUGUACUAGUUGUCUAUUUUUACAAAUCAAAAAGAGUUAUUAUUCUUUUCAUAAUAACUUGGUACUAGAUAGCCACAGAGGGUGAUAAUAGUAUUAGAUAAUCACAUAAAGGUGAUAUUAGUUAAAUUUAGUAUAAGGUGAUUUUAAUAAAGUAUAUCUCCAAUUAAAAUUAUCUAAAAGAUAGAGACAAACAUUCCGUAUUCGUUCGAACUAUGAUCAAAGAUACUUCGAUAUACUCCAACUUUAUCAGAGUUCUAUUACCUUUGAACUCAAUUUUAGAAUAUUUUUAUCACCUUUUUUUAACUGACGUGAUACCUUUUUAGCUGACGUGACACAUUUGACGUGAGCCUCAUUUUUAUAUAAUAAAGGUAUCACAUCAGUUAAAAAAGAGUGAUGAAAAUAUUCUAAAUAUAUGUACUUACUUCAUGUCCAAUAAUAUCGUCCUUUAAUCUGUUGCUUCGUGAUGAAGCCGGAAGGACCAAAGAGUCAUUUAAGAUCCAUUGGAAAGUCUCUUUGGCUACAAAUUCCUCCAUAACUAUCAAACAAGUAACCACAACCAUUGGAAUGACAAUUGUUAAAGUUGCAUUUGGAGUAAAAAGUAUCACUUUUUUAUAGUUAAGGUGUGUAAUAGGUCACUUAUAGAAUUUAGGUAUGGAUUCGACUUUUCAACUAUAAUUUGGAGUGAAAAUGAUGCAUUUUUCCUUUAAUUCUUGAUGAUUGAAUUUGAUAUGAUAGGUUUUGAAGAGAUGCAAUAGAAUUCAUCUUGAAGUUUUGGCUCUAACAAUAGUUAUAUCUCUACAAAAGAUGACAUACGUAUAAGAAAUUAAUACUCGUCUGGAUAAUUAUUUUUCCAAUUGAUUUCUAAUUAAGAGUAUUCACAAAUUAAAUUUUACUGUUCAUAAUUACACAUCUAACUAUAAGUGGGAAUGAAGAUAAGAUGACAUAAUUACAAGCAAUUAAUACUCGUCUGGAUAAUUAUUUUUCCAAUUGAUUUCUCUUAAGAGUAUUCACAAAUUAAAUUUUAUUGUGCGUAAUUUCGAAUUCAACGUGAUUUACUCUUUCAUUUGUAAUUGAAUUACCGCUAAGCUAAUUUAACUUGAAUAUGCUCUUUUUUAGUUUUAAGUUUUAACCAAGCCUCAUCUAACAACAACAAUAAUAUAUCCAGUGUAAUUCCACACGCCGGAUGUAGGAAGGGUAGAGCGUAUUCAGACCUUACCUCUACCUCGUAUAGAUAGAGAGACUGUUUAUGAAAGGCUCUCAGCUUAAAAGAACAUGUCAAACAUUUUGAAACAAGGGGUAGGGAUAUGGGACUAAGUCUCAACUAAGUACUAUACAUAUUAUAUUUUCCGUUUAGUGAAACUUUUGAAUCAUAAAGAUUAAAUUCUAAAUUCAUCUCGUCGAGCAAAAUAACAUUAAUAUUGUAUAGGAUAAAUAGAGAGGAGAUGCGAUACCAGAAGACAUGUAAUGCCUUUGUUGUCUGAUUAGUCUAAAACGAAGAGCAACAACGUAAAGAUCGACAUCAUCUUCAUUUUUAUUCUGUUCGGACUCAUCAAAAAUGUUUUGAAUAGACGUUUUGAUCUCAUUUUCGAAAUGAUAUCCCACUCCCAAUCGUUGGAUUGCAUCAAUCAAGACUAGUUUUUGUAUAAUAUUAUCAAGAGUUUUCACUAACAUUUGCCUGACUUUUUCUUUCAACUCUUCAACUCCAUCUUUUUCUUGGCUACUAAUUUCCUGCCCAAAAAAUUAAUAGUUAGUAUUGUUGUACAUAUUCAUAAAAUAGCAGCAAAUGCAAUACAACACCAAUAACAUAUUCACCAUAAUUUUAUAGGUAGAGUCUAGCAGGAGCGGAGCCAGUUCUUUGGCGGGGGUUUCAUCCGAACCCUCUUCGACGGAAAAUAUAUCAUUUAUACAUGAUUAAAAAAAAAAAUCUAUGUAUUUAUAGUAGGCGUUGAACCCCCUUUGGCUAGUUUUUCUUCAAAUAUUGAACCUCCUGAGUUUAAAUCCUUGCUUCGCCUCUGAACUUUAGGAAGGGUAUAGUUUACGCAAAUCUUUACCUAACUCGUGGAUAUAGAUAGGUUGUUUCCGAAAGAACUCUACUCAAAUAAUGCAUAUCAAACAAUUUGAAAAAAAAAAAAUACUACAAAAGUAAAGAAGACAUAUAUGGCAAAUAAUAGGUUACAUGACAUUCAAAAAAGCAAGCAACAAUAACAACAAUAAUAUACCCAGUGUAUUCCCACAAAGUGAGAUCUGGGGAGGGUAAACUAUACGCAAUCCAUACCACUACCUCAGACGAAGUAGAGAGAUUGUUUUUGAUAGAUUCCCGACUCAGGACAUAUAAAGCAACAAUAACAAUAGCCAAAAAACAUAUGAUCUAUAAUUAUGCACAAUUACCGAAACACACAUAACUACGGAAGGUAACAAAAAUCGUAGGCUAAGAAACUACUUGACUAAUGCUAUUACUUUUGGUAUGCACAGAGAAACAAAUACGAUACACCAAACUAACACGAAGCCUAUCCCACAGAAAAACGAGACAUAUAUGAGUGUAUGUGUACAUAACAUACAGUGAGUUGAGGAGUGUAGGUGAGAAAAUGUUCUGCAAAAUGCAUGUAACAACAUAAUUAUAUGUGCUGUAAUUAUCAUUCUUAUAUUUUUACUAUAUAUAUGCGACAAGGUAAUUUUAUGUUUUGUGUUUGUGAGUGGUGUGCAUACUGUAUUUAUAUAUGUUUUGUUAAAACACUAUUGUAAGUUUUUUGAAAGUUUUAUUAUUUCUUUAAAUCGAAUAAUUAAGGUCCUAAUUUUGCAUCUCUAAGUAAUUUUUUUUUUUUUUUUUUCAAUCCUAGAGCCCUCAAAUCAGUUAAUCAAAUUCAAUGGCUAGCUAAUGAUUUGCAGUAUGUGUAUUAUAAAAUUAUGCACUCCUAAUUGAAAAUCGAAUCUUCUAAAUGCUCACAUUCAGUAUUCAUAAUUACAAAAGUUGAUAUACCAAAAUUUUGUUAUCUAAUUGUUAUAAUCUAUGAAUUCUAUGUAUGUGUACUUCAUGAACAUUAAUAAAGAAAACAGAGAAAAGAUGUAGAGAAGAAGAAGACGAGGGAUUAGAGAAGAGAUUAGAGAAAAUGAAUUUGUUUAUUACUUCAUUCAAUUAGAAUAUAUACACUGUUAAAUUGACUGUUUGGCAGUAGAUUAGGUAACUUAACUAACUAGUCAGACAUGACUUAAUAUAGCUAUAGAACCAUUUUUAUGUUAAUCAAUAUAUUUGGAACAAAACCGUUUGAGAGAAGAUUAAGGGAUGAUUGAUAUAUGUCAUAACUGUAAUCCCCUUUUUAUGGGUAUGUAAUAUAUUUUCCAUAUAUUAAAAUUAUUUUUUUCUUAUUUUUUAUCAUUAAAAAACAUUUUUUUUCCUUUUACAAAUGAUUUUUUGCUAUAACUUGCAAAGUCGAAAGUACUGCUAUAACUUACAAUUUUCAAUCUAAGGAACGUUAUUUACGUUUUUCCUAGUAAAAUAGUUGAUCCUCUUCUAAAAAGUUUUUUUUUUUUAAAUUUAGUUGUCCACUUGAAAACCAAAUCACCUGUCUUCUUGGUUUGCAAGGCGCUUUUUUAAGUCUUAUAUCAACUUUUAUAUAUUUCGUAUAUAAUUAUAUUUAAUCUGCAUCGGAUUUAACGUGUGCUAAAGCACCACAAAAUUCCACAGGUCUGCUCCUGGGGCAAAUCUAGAUGCAACAUUAUAUAACGACGAAAAAUAACACGAUCAAUUCAAACACUAUAUUGAUAGUUAAAACAAUACAACAAGAUACAAUACAAUACAAUACGACACUUUACUAAAGAAUACAUAACAACUAUCCAAAUAUAGAGUAAAGGAAAUAUGAGUGAAAAGACAACACACAGUGACAAGACUCCUGCAAACAUUAAUAGAAUUAAAGCAGCAACAUAAAAAUUUGCUUCAAAUGUACAUUUAUGAUGUACUAUAGAAAGAGUCCAAAAACAUCAUGGUGAUUACAUCUUUAAGGAAGCUUUGUGAAUCAUUAAAAUCAUCUUUUUGGAGAAUAUAUACAAGGCGUGAAAGAUUUAAGACAGGUUCCAAAACAAACGUUGGUACUUUAGUAGCACGUAAAUACUCCGUGUUUAUAUCUUUCCAUGCAUUCGCGAUUUGCCUCAAUGCCUCAUCACACGCCUCUUGUUCUGACGCUCCAUAUUCUUUCAGGUAGCACUCGAUAAAUGAAGCUCCAUGUUCUCUUUGUUGUUCGUGCUGCAUCAAAUAUAAGUAUAUUUUUGUGUGAUGUUCAAACAUAGAGUAAAGCAUCUAAUAACUUCCUAAACUAUGAUAAAAUUUGCUAUGGCACACUCCAACUUCAUGAGGUCCUAUUACCCUCUAAACUAAAUUUUAAUGAAUUUGUCAUUCUUUUUACAUGUCCGCACAAAAGGGUGACAAAAAUACGCUAAAAUUGAGUUCAUGGGGUCAGAGGCGGAGCGAUCCCUUUGGUAGAAGGUUCAUCCGACCCUCUUUGACAGAAAAAUAGACUAUUUAUACAUGAUUAAAAUUAUUUUUAUGUAUCUAUAGUACGUGCUGAACCCCCUUCGGCUAGAUUUUCUUGAAAUAUUGAACCCCUUAAUUGAAAUCCUGGCUCCGCCUCUGCAUGGGGUAAUAGGACACUUGCGAAGUUGGAGUAUGUCGUAGCAACUUUGGUCAUAGUUUAAGAGGGUACUGAAUGCUUAUCUCUUAAACAUAUGUUUUAUUCUGUUGCAAUAGGUUAUACACUUAAAUGAUCAUGUAAUUACUAUGAGAUUAAUUGAAAUUGUAAUUAUUAAAUUAAUUUGGCUAUUACUAAUAAUGGCUUAAUUUGCACCAUUUCAAAUAAAAUUCGUCAAUUGAUCACUCUACUCAGAACAAACACACUAAGAUAAUCGUGUAAUUACUAUGAGAAUAAUUGAAAUCGUAAUUGAACUUAUCAAUUCAUCUUUAAUUUUAGUUAUAUCAAUGUAGUUAUUACUAAUAAUAUCUUAAUUUGAAUCAUUUCAGAUAAAAUUGAUCAAUUAACACUUUACUCAAAAUGAAUACACUUAGAUGAUCAUGUAAUUACUAACUAUGAGAUUAAUUGAAAUCACAAUUAAAAUUAUCAAUUCAUCUUUAAUUUUAGUUAAAUUAAUUUAAUUAUUACUAAUAAUUGUUGAUUUAAUUAUUUCAUAUAAAAUUGGUCAAUUGAUCAUUCUACUUAAGACGAAACACUUAGUUAAUCAUGUAAUUAUUAUAAAAUUAAUUGAAAUUGUAAGUCAACUCACUAAUUCAUCUUUAAUUUUUGUUAAAUCAAUAUAGUUAUUUCUAAUUAUGGUUUGGUUUUAAUAAUUUCAAAUAAAAUUGGUCAAUUGAUCACUCUACUCAGGAUGAACACACUUAAUUGAUAGUGUAAUUACCAUGAGAUUAAUUGAAACUGUAANNNNNNNNNNNNNNNNNNNNNNNNNNNNNNNNNNNNNNNNNNNNNNNNNNNNNNNNNNNNNNNNNNNNNNNNNNNNNNNNNNNNNNNNNNNNNNNNNNNNNNNNNNNNNNNNNNNNNNNNNNNNNNNNNNNNNNNNNNNNNNNNNNNNNNNNNNNNNNNNNNNNNNNNNNNNNNNNNNNNNNNNNNNNNNNNNNNNNNNNNNNNNNNNNNNNNNNNNNNNNNNNNNNNNNNNNNNNNNNNNNNNNNNNNNNNNNNNNNNNNNNNNNNNNNNNNNNNNNNNNNNNNNNNNNNNNNNNNNNNNNNNNNNNNNNNNNNNNNNNNNNNNNNNNNNNNNNNNNNNNNNNNNNNNNNNNNNNNNNNNNNNNNNNNNNNNNNNNNNNNNNNNNNNNNNNNNNNNNNNNNNNNNNNNNNNNNNNNNNNNNNNNNNNNNNNNNNNNNNNNNNNNNNNNNNNNNNNNNNNNNNNNNNNNNNNNNNNNNNNNNNNNNNNNNNNNNNNNNNNNNNNNNNNNNNNNNNNNNNNNNNNNNNNNNNNNNNNNNNNNNNNNNNNNNNNNNNNNNNNNNNNNNNNNNNNNNNNNNNNNNNNNNNNNNNNNNNNNNNNNNNNNNNNNNNNNNNNNNNNNNNNNNNNNNNNNNNNNNNNNNNNNNNNNNNNNNNNNNNNNNNNNNNNNNNNNNNNNNNUACGAAUAAUGGCUUAAUUUGAUUCAUUUCAAAUAAAAUUGGUUAAUUGAUUACUCUAAUCAUGACGAAUACAAUUAGUUGAUAAUUUAAUUACUAUGAGAUUAAUUGAAAUUGUAGGUUCAUCUUUAAUUUUAAUUAAGUCAAUUUAGUUAUUACUAAUAAUAUCUUAAUUUGAAUUAUUUCAAAUAAAAUUGGUCGAUUGAUCACUCUACUCGGGAAGAAUACACUUAGUUAAUCAUGUAUGAGAUCAAUUGAAAUUGUAAGUGAACUCAUUAAUUUAUGUUUAAUUUUAGUUAAAUCAACAUAGUUAUUACUAAUAAUGACUUAAUUUGAAUCAUUUAAAAUAAANNNNNNNNNNNNNNNNNNNNNNNNNNNNNNNNNNNNNNNNNNNNNNNNNNNNNNNNNNNNNNNNNNNNNNAGUUAAAUCAAUAUAGUUAUUUCUAAUGAUAACUUAGUUUGAAUCAUUUCAAAUAAAAUUGAUCAAUUGAUCACUCUACUCAGGACGAACAUACUUAGUUGAUCGUAUAAUUACCAUGAGAUUAAUUGAAACUGUAAUUAAACUUAUUAAUUCAUCUUUUAUUUUAGUAAUCAAUUUAGUUAUUACUAAUAAUGACUUAAAGUGAAUCAAUAGAUGACUAACAUGUUAUAACAGAUGCGUAAUCUGUUGGAAAUGAUCAAACAAAUAAAAACAUCUGUUGAAAAUGACCAAACAGAUAUAGACAUCUGUUGCAACAAAUGACUCACUUGUUGCAACAACUAAUUCAUCUAUUGAAAAUUAUCAAACAGAUAUCGACACCCGUUGCAACAGAUAACUAAGUUGUUGCAACAUAUGACUCAUCUGUUGAAAAUUAUUAAAUAGACCAAAUAUGUGUUAAAAAGCAAUUUAAAAUACUAAAGCUCAGUAUUUUUUAGGAGAACUCAAAUGUUUCCCCCCUUGUCUAAGAUCUUGUCUUCAAUUUUAGUUAAAUCAAUUUAAUUAUUAUUAAUAAUUGCUUAAUUUGAAUCAAUAAAUGACUAACUUGUUAUAAACAUUUAUUGCAACCGAUGACUAACUUGUUGCAACAAAUAGGUGAUCUGUUGAAAAAUAAUUAAAAUACUAGGUAACUCAAACAUUUUUAGGAGAACUAAAAUGUUUGUCCCAUUGUCUUAAAGACUUGUCUUUAAUUUUAGCUAAAUCAAUUUAGUUAUUACUUAUAAUUGCUCAAUUUGAAUCAACAGAUGACUAACAUGUUGCAAUAGAUAAUUCAUCUGUUGGAAAUUAUCAAACAGAUAGAAAAGCUAUUAUAAUAGAUGAGUUAUCCAUUAGAAAACAAUUAAAAUACUAGGGAAAUUAAAUGUUUUUAGGAGAACUCAAACGUUUGUCCCCUCAAUCCUUUUGCAUUUGAUGUAUGAUACACUAUUUUUGUCUUCUUUACCUGUUUCAUGAAAUUUUUCAUGUGUUUCACUUAUUUGUUGUGCCUUUGUUGAAAUUUUUAGAAUUUUUUUAGGUUAAAUUUUGUUCGUACAUCACUUGGACAUUACUUCAUAGGUGAUUUUGUAAGUAUAAUUAUAAUUUUUGUUGAAUUUUUUAUUUGGUAUAUUUGCUACUGUUACAAUGGAUAGAACAUGCAACAUGAAUUCAAUAUAUGAGUCAUUUAUUGCAACAAGUGAGUAAUCCGUUGCAACAUAUGACUAAUCUGCUGCAGCAGAUGACCCAUAUGUUGGAUUCAUGUUACAACACUAUAAUACAAAUCCAACAGAUGAGUAAUCUGUCGCAACAAAUUAGUCAUAUAUGUUGCAACAGAUUAUUCAUAUGUUGCAACAGAUUAGUCAAUAUGUUGCAACAGAUUAGUCAAUACGUUGCAACAGGUUACUCAUCUGUGCAAUAGAUUACUCAUCUGUUGGAUUCACGUUACAUGUUUUAUCUACUGUUGAAAAACAGCAGUAGCAGAUACACCCAGAUGAGAAAUUCAACUAAAAAUUAUAAUUUUACUUACUAAAAUCACCUAUAAGUAAUUCCCAAGUGAUAUACGAAUAAAAUUUGACCUAAAAAAUUUGAUCAAGUAGCAAUAGUAGCGGUAACAAUAAUGUUCAACAACAAGAAGAUGAUGAAUAUGAACAAGAAGAGAUGAUAAUGAAGAACAAGAUGAUGAUAAUGAAGAAAAGAUGAUGAAUAAAGCAACAACAAUAAUGAACAACAAAAAUCACGAAGAGAGAGAAAACUCCAAUAAAUGAGAAGAGAGAGAAACGUGCCUUUUUUUCUCUCCAUUUCUAGUUAUAUUAGGUUUUACAUUGGAUCAAAGUAUAAAUUAAAAAAUUUGUGGGUUAUUUUCAAACUUUUCUUAUUUUCUUAAUCCUUAAUAAAGUAAUUGUCACCCCCACUCAAUUAUUAAGACUUGUGUCACCCGUACUUCAUUUUAAAACCCUUUUGUCACCUAGAGCCCAAGGCCCCUAAUAACUUGACCAUGCUAUAAGUCCAAACAACAUAGUUGGUCCUCUUGCCAAAAAUGUUUGUUUCAUUUUAAUUGUUCGAAUUUGAAAAUCAAGAGAAGUUUAUUGUGUUUUUUCAAUAUUAUCCCUAUCAUUAAAUGACUAUAUAAAAUUUAUAUAAUUAAAUUUAUAUUUUUAAUACAUAAAUAAUAGAGCUACUUCAACAAAAUAAAUUUCUAUUAAAUAUUUUUCUAAGAAAAAUGUCAAGUCAAUAAUUUUCGAACUAAAACGAAAGUACCUUUGAGUCACUCGAAUAAUAAUGACACUAUAAUUUAUUAAUCAGCUAUAGAAAAGGUAACUACUCAAUAUUAUUAAUACAAUUUGAUUUACUAAAAUGAGUAAUAUCUGAUACAUCUUUCUAAAACUAGCAAUAUUUGGCACGUCUUGAGUAUCAUAUUAACUGUCUAGUACUAAAAAUAUUUAUUUCAAGUUAUUUGUCAUUUAUAAAAUUUAAGAGAGAAUUAAAAAAAUAUUUUUUAUUUUAUUCUUACAAUUUAUUUCUUUUUGAAAGUGUAAAUAAGUUUGUAAAUUUUCAAAAAUAUUUCUAAAGAGCUAAAUUAGUAAAAUAAUUUGUUUUAUUUAUGAUUUUUAAGAGAAAGAAAAGUGAAUAAUUAAUAUGGGAUGGAGAGUGUUCCUUAAAAUUUUGUAGUAUCAUAUCAGGUCUUUUAGUGAAACAAAACUAUUUUAAAAAAUUCAUAUUACCACAAUGGAAAAGGGCCAACAAUACUGAAGUAUUUGAAAUAGGACAAUUAUAUCCUUCGUUAGUUUUUUAGCUUAAAAAUACUCCUCGCUCUAACAGAAUGACACCAAGUAUGUCACGUGAUCAAAAAAGGCCCCAUGACCUCUUCACGUCAAUGCCCAUGGAAAAAAUCAUUCCAUUUAAUACCCUUAACCAUAAUCGUUGCCUUCUUCUUCUUCAUCUUCGAGCAUCAAUUUCUCGACAAAAACUCACAUUCUUCGACCACAAUUCGAAAAUCUUGGAUGUUGUUUGACAUCUCCUUUAUACUUCACCAACAGAACUAGAUAUGAUUGAACUUGAGAAAUUGAUGCUCGAAGAUGAAGAAAAAGAAGCAAUGAUGAUGGUUAGUGAUAUUAAUUGAGUGAUUUUUCACGGUUAUGUGGUGUUUCUUAUUCACGUGAUGUGUUUGCUGUCAUUUCGACAGAGGAAUAUUUUUAAACAAAAAAUUUAACGAAAGAAUAUUUUUGAGUCAAAAAAUUAAUGAAGAGUAUUUUUGCUAUAUUUCGUAUAGUUUAUGAGUAUUUUUAGUAUCAGAUCAGAUCUAUAGAUGAAAUAGAAGCAUUUUAAAAUUUUCAUAUUUUCAUAUUAUCAUAAUAAUCAUUUAGUAUUACUUCCUUCGUAUAUUCUUAUUUGUUCAUGUGACUAAAAAAUAAAUGUACACAAUAUUUGUUUAGUUUGUAGAACCAUGAACACAGUUGUUAUUUUGGUUUGAUUUUAAUUAAAAUCGAGUCAAAUUAAAUUAUGAACAUCCCUAAAUAUAAUAGAAUUAUUUAUAUUAUUUAUUAUUUCUUUAAAAAUGUAUCAAAUUAAUAGUGAACAAAUAAAAAUAGAAAAUCAUAUAAUAUAAGUUGGGUGUGGUGUAAUUGUUGAAAUACUCCAUUUUUUAAAUUUUAGAUCUACAUUCUAUAUGCAUACCACAUGUGGCAGGCAUGGGCGGAUCUAUAUGUAAUUUAGGGGUUUUGAAUCUUCUUUCGUUGAAAAAUUAUUCUUAUAUAUAUAGGAUCAAAAUUUUAAUUUACUGUAUAUAUGUUAAGUACUGAACCCCCUUGACACAAGGCUAAAGCUUGGUUCAGUGAUGAAGGGGUGCAAAAUUCCUCAAUCCGUGUGGGUUCGAGUUUGAAUAGCAUUGUUUUUUUUUCAAUCUUUUAUAUUAGCUUUUGUAUUAAAUCCCCUGUUACUUUCUUGCUCUAUUAGGUUUUGUCCCCAAUACAAUUCUGGUAACUUAUUGUACUAUUUAUGUAGUUUUUAAAUAUGUAAAUUAUUUUUAAAAAGUUUAAAGAUUGUAUGUUUGAGCGCAUGAUCAAAAUAAAGAAGUUUAACUUCCUCGUUUUGUUGUUCAUGUUGAGGUAGAGUUGAACUUUGUCUGGCUCGCUCAAAUCAAAUGUGACCCGCUUAUAUCUUAUCUGACUCGCUUAUUUUUAAGGUCCUGUUAACGUGCUUAGUUAUUUUUGUAAACCCUUUUAAUAGAAAUUCUGGCUCCGUCACUGGUGGCACGACACAAUAUUUUUAACAAAUUUUUGUGGAUUAAAAUUUACACACAUUUGAUAUAUAUAUUAAGUCAAUACAUGUAUAUUAUGUGUUUAAAUUUAAAAUUUAGGUUACUUAUUCAUGAUUAGUUAACAUAUAUUUUACUUAAUUUAAUUAUUUAACUAUAUAAAAAAUAUUAAUACCAAAUUACUCAUUUUAAUGUAGGAUUCUCUCAGAAGAUUUGGUUCUCUAGCUCUUUAUGAAUUUAUUUUUAGCUUUAUAUUCUUUUUAUCAGAGAUAUUUAUAAUAAUUUAUACAUAAGAGAUAUUUAUUUUUAUACAUAAAUAUAUAACGUAAAAAUAAAAUUUUACACUUAAACAAAUUGAGAAGUGACAUGUGGCGAGAAAAGUUGGUCAAAGUUGAUGUCAGAUCUUCAAAAUAAUUGUUCCUCUUCUAAAAAAAAUUGUUUCAUAUUAGUUUUGGAGAAUACUAUUAUAUUCUUCAAAUCAUAAUUAAUAAGGUUAAUUUAAUAAUAAAUUUCUAAUAAUUUUUUUUUAAGAAAAGUGUCAAUUUAAUAAGGAUCAAUUAUUUUGAAAUAAAGGAAAUACACGAUAUUAUAUUUUCCGACUAUUAAAAGAGUUCUCUAUUUUCGUAAUGACCUUUAAUAAGAAUUCUCUAUUUAAAAGGCGGACAAAAAAGAUUGCUUGAAUGUAACCAUUUUCUAUCUCCAACUUUAAUAUUAUAAGUUUGAGUCAUCAAGAAAGCUUCAAGAAAAACAUUUAAAAUAAGUAGUGAAAUGACAAUAUAAAAAAUAUUAUCACUAAUUCAUCCUCCUUGAUUAGUAUUUUGGAUGACUUGAUACUUAUGGUUGCGUUGUCUGCACAUUAUAUUUUCUUCAAUAAGUACAAUAAUAUUCCAUACCACCUUGACCUUAGUGUACGUGUCAACCAUAAAGAUUGCAUUUAUAAUAUGGUAAUUAUUACUCUGUAUAAUAAUGUUUUUCAUUUUGAAAAAUUGAUUAAUAACUAAUUAUUUUAUGUCAAUUUGAAAUAAUCGCUUCAUUUCUUUAUAAGCUUUCCUUUCGAGUUGUUGAUUUUGUUUUCAAAUAUAUAGAAGUGCAUGUUUAAGAUUUCAAAAAUACUUUGAUCGUAAUCUUCCAUAUAUGUCCUUGGAUUUAAAUAUAGUAAUCAAUGUCAAUAUGAAAAGAGAUAAAUUUAAUUAGGGAUAAGUUGGUAAUGUUAUUUUUAAUUUUUAGAAGUGAGUAGUUUAUUAAAGGAGCAAUUAGCCAAAAAUAGCGCUUAUUUAGAAAUAGAAAAGUACUAUUCAUUACCUAAUGCAUUUUUUAAAAUACUAAAUUUACUAUAUUCAAAAGAAAUAUAGUAAAAAUUAUAUUUAUUAUUUGUGUUAAAUUAAUACUGAACAGACAAAUAAAGAUAAACGGAAGAAAUAGCUUAGAAAUGCAGCAAACUCAAUAAUUGAAUUUAAUGAGUUCAUAAUUGUACUCCCUCCGUAUAUUUUUAUUUGUCACAAUUUGACUUGACACACUCAUUAAGAAAAAUAAUUAAUAAUAUAAUUAUUUUAUAAUAAUAUUCUUAUUAAAUGAUAUUUACAUUGUGUGUUAAAAUUGAUUUGGAGAAAAAAUAAUUAAUAUUAAGAAUAAAAUAAAAAAAUUAUAUUUUCUUGAUAUGUUCAAAAUGACAAGUAAAAGUAGAAAUAUAAUUCAAACAUUUAUGAUAAGUAAAUGCUAAUGAAAUGAGUAUAAGACAAAGGAAAUAAUAUACAUGAGUUUCAUAUUUUCAUUGUUCAGGAUGUUAAUUGGAGUCGUAUUAAAAUUUUGCUUUCGGUUCAUCUUUAUUUCUCCAUCUCCUAAACUAAAAUUGACUAUAUGUUUCAUUGUACCAAAAAGAGUGUUACAAAUCAAUUAAUAGUGUUACUUCCUCUAUUUUAUUUUAUGUGUCGUUAUUUUCUUUUUGAUCAAUCCCAAAAAAAUAUCAUAUUUUUUUAAUUUGAUAAUUAUUUAAUGGUAUCAUCCCCAUUUUAUCCUUAGUGUAUCCUACUUUAUAAAAAAAGACAAUUACAAAGUAAACUUUAAGAGAAACAAUUUUAUAAACUUUACAAAAUCAUCAUUUAUUUCUUAAACUAUGUGCCCGGUCAAAUAACGCUACAUAAAAUGAGAUGGAGGGAAUAUUAUUUUUUUCAUAGGGUGAUAUUAGUAAAUUUAGUAUAACGUGAGUUUAAUAAAGUAUAUCUCUAAUUAAAUUUUUCUUAAAAGAUAGAGAUAAACAUUCAGUGCUUCCUUAAACUAUGAUCAAAGAUGCUAUGACACACUCCUGAACUCAAUUUUAGAAUAUUUUUAUCACCCUUUAUACUGAUGUGACAUCUUUAGUAUAUAAAAAUGAGAUCCACAUCAAAUGUGCCACGUCAGUUAAAAAAGAUGACAAAAAUACGCUAAAAUUGAGUUUAAAUAUAAUAGAAUCCUGUGAAGUUGAAGUAUGUCCCAUCAAAUUUAGUCAUAGUCCAAAGAAACUAGAUGCUUUGUUGUAAAAGAUAUGCAAAGUACACAUGAGUCAAGUAAUAUAAAAUAAAGAGAGAUUCAUUAAAACAAUACAUAUGAUAUGAUAUAUUGUGAAACAAUACAAAACAACCAUCCAUUCAAAUUGCAAUAGAAUUAAAGCACCACAACCCCCACCCCCACGCACCCCCACCCCACCCAACAAAACACACAUAUACAUAGCAAUCACUUAGAAAUAAUUAAAAUAUCUAAGUUUUGGGAUCAUUGUUAAUUUGCUUAAUUAAACACCAACAAGAUUAUGAUUAUCAUGAUUCAUGAUAUAGUCAACAAACAACAUGGAGUUGAUGUCUUUAAGGGUGUAUUUGGAAUUUGUAAAAUCAUCCCCUUGGAGAAUUUCUACUAGACGUGCAAGAUUUAUUGCAGGUUCUAGGACAAUCGUUGGUACUUGCGUUGCACGUAAAUAUUCGGCGUUUAUGUCUUUCCAUGCAUUUGCUAUUUCUUUCCAUAUCUCAACAUACACAUCUUGUUCGAAGCUCCAUAUUAUUUUAUGUAGCAUUAGACGAAUGAAGCUCCAUGUUUUUUUUGUUGUUCGUGUUGCAUCAAAUGUAUGGGUUUCUGUAUUGAUGUCCCAUAGAACUAUACAUUCAAGAGUUACUGGUCAAAAACACAUAUAGGCUAUCAUUUUAUAGUGAAUUUCAUACAUCAACUGCCCCUUAUUCCUUUUACCUAUGUAAAUUAUCACUGUUCAAGUGAAAGUUUAAUUGUAUAUAAUUGUUUAUUAUUAAGACUUGACAUAAAUAAGUCGUGCAAUUGUUUUAAAUAGGAGUCCUUAGCAGUGAUAAUUUUGGAGUUUUAUUAUGUGUGUAUAUAUAUAUAGAUAAUUUAUAAUAUAUUAAAGGUGUGUAGGCCAUUUGAAAAGUGAUUUGAACUUUUUACCCUUUAUUAAAAGACUCUUUUUUAGAUAAAACUGUCUUUUCACUAUUUUUAAUUUAUUAUUUAAUUAUUUUUUAUCAUAUUAAUUAGACUUCCUAAAAUCUAUGGGAAUAAUAAUAAAAUGUUGCUAUUCCAACUAGAUUCUUAGUACAACUCCAACGUUUCAAAUAUAGUAACCAAAAAUUUGAUUUACUUUUCCCUAAUUAACUUUAAUUGUAUUGAAGACCCGCAAAAAAAUUCCUUUUUUAAAUAUGAACAACUUUUCUCUUCGGAUUUAUUUAAAAAGUUUCUUCUUGAUUUUAUUUUUUUUGCCUUAUAAAUCUCCUUCCAUUUUUUUGUUGUUAAUUUAAAUAAACUAUUAACAAGUUGAAUAUUUCUUAAUUUUUAAGAUGAAAUAUUUUUCUCAUAAUCUUAAAUUUUUAGAUCUACUUCUGUAUGUAAGUAAUUAUUGAUUGACUUUUAAUAUUCUUAUGCAGGUGAAACAACAUUACACUGAAUGUGUGAAUGAGACUUUGUAUGUGUACGAGCAAAUUUGAAGAUAAGUAUUUUUUCUUGAAAUUUAUUUUUUGAUCAUAUUUUUUUAAACUCCUCCUUGAUGUAUUUUUUUUAAUUUUACCUUAUAAGUCUAUUUUCUAUUAUUUUGUUAUUAGUUUAAAUUGGGCUAUUAAAAAGUUGAAGAUCCUUUAAUUAUUAAGAUGAAUUUAUUUUCGUUCAUAUUGAUACUAAUAUAUUUUUUUUUAAAUUCCUCCUUGGUGCAUUUGUUUUUUUUUUACCUUUAUAAAUCUUUUUUUUUUAUUAUUUUGUUAUUAGUUUAAAUUGUACUAUUAACAAGUUGAAAAUUCUUAUAAAUCAUUCAUAUCUAAGUUGGUUUGAUUCUUUUAGUAUAUUAGACGCUUACGUUAUCGUUGUGCCUAAUGUAUAUAAGUUGGAGUUAAAAUUUUGGGACUCAUAAAUCACAUGAAAAAAGUUUUUUCUUCUUACAAUUUACUUCUUGUGAUUAGUUUUUUGUUUAAGAAUGUUAAAGACGAGUUGUAUAAAAUGGUGGUUAUAUUGGUUAUAUUGUAUGGAACGUAUAUGAUGUAAUUUCAAUUUAUCGAAAACAUUAACUUAGAUAGGAGGUUAUGAUUAGGAUAUACAGUUUAUCAGAUAGUUUCGUUAGCGUUAUCUGGCGUAUUCGCAUUACUAUUGGCAUUAAGAAUGAAAUCGUUAAUAAUGUUGCGAUUAUUAUCAUGCUUUUUAUAUUCAAGUAAUUUUAUAAAAUUGAGCUCAUUAAUAUUAUAUAUAUAUAUAUAUAUAUAUAUAUAUCUUCUAUAAUUUAUUAAAAGUGUGAAAACCCUUAGAAAAGUUAUUUGAACUUUUUGCAUUUCAUUAGAAGACUGUGCAAUAGACAAAAUAGUCUUUUCACUAUUUUUCUUAAAAAAUUAUUUAUUAUUAUUUAUUAUUUAGUACUUUAAAUUAAUUAAAACCUCUACUUAAUCUAGGUAAGACAUCAUAAUAUUUAACACUUCUAAAUCAAUUACAAUUCUACUUAAAUAGAUAAGAAUAUCUAUAAUUUUAUUUAAGUUAUAUUUUGACUCACAAUUUCGAUGUGCUUUCUAUUAGGAUAUCUCAUCCGACAUGUGAGUUUGCAUUUUAUAUAAAAAAAAUUGAAAAAAUAUAAUUGUGAAUUAUUUGAAGAUUAUUGAGUAGGCAGUUUUUAAUUUUUUAUUGUUACGCAUUCUAUUUUCACUUUGUGGAAUUUUACGAGACAUUGAUUAUGUUGUUAUUUUAUUGUCAAGCAUUAUAUUAGAGUAUGACUUUUCAAAUUAUUCCGCAAAAUAUUAUUGGUUGGAUAUAAUAUUUAAAUCCUCAUACUUAAACAUCAAAUUAGUUCGAACUAAAACUAUAACUGAUCAUUCAAAAACGUAAAAACUAAUUAAAAAAUGUAUUUCUACUUUAAAUUCUUCCACUGAUUUGCAUCUUUUUACUAUAUUUCUAAAAUAUUUCAUUAUUUACUUAUUAUUCUUAUAUUUAUGACUUAAAAAUUAAUUAACGCCCUUACUUGAUCUAGGUAGAAAAUUACAAUUUUAACACUCAUAAAUUCAUUAGAAUUUUACCUUAUGUAAAUUUAUAUCUAUAUCUAUAAUCUAUAAUCUAUAUCUAUAAUAAUAUAUUAAAAGUGUGAAGAUGCUUAGAAAAGUGAUUUGAACUUUUUACUCUUCAUUAAAAGACUUUCUUUAGAUAAAAUUAUCUUUUCACUAUUUUUUAAAUUUAUUAUUUAAUUAUUUUUUAUUAUAUUAACUAAACUUUCUAAAAUAUAUGGGACUCCUAAAAUAUAUGGUAGAAAAAUUAAUUAAUAUUUUUCUUUCUACUUUUAAUUAGAAAAAUAGUCCUAAAAUAGGACUCUAUUAAGAAAAUACUUCUAUAAAUAUUGAGAUGUACGUUAAACCAGCGAACAAAUCGGUUUGCCUAUUGGAAGAAUAUGAUUGAUGCUCAUCUAACUUAAUCCGAUUGCAUGUCUAGAUUGGUGGAUGUUUGAUUUUCUAAGGCUCAAUUUCUUUACUGUUUUUGUCAGCAUAAUAGAAUUCAACAUGUGUAUAUAUGUAUAUAUAUAUAUAAUAAGAAUAAAGGCAUGGGUUGCUGAUGGUGUUAAUAAUCGGAAAAAUUACAGAAACUAGCAUCCUUAAGACUAUAAGAAUACAUGUUUCAAUUUUAUCGAAUAUUGAAGAACCUCGGGAUUAAACUUAGUCGUGGAGGAAAAAAUUAGGUGUCAACAAUAUCGGUAUUAGUUUGUUAUUUUGUGGUAGUUUACGAUUCGUAGAUAAACCUCGAUCGACUUUGAGAAAUUUUUGUACAUAAAAUUUAAGUGUAAUUGUAUUGUUUUGAUAUCACGUUUAUCAUAUUAUUUUGUUGCAGUGUACAGGCGAUAGAUAAAUGUUGGUCGGCUUUGAGGAAUAUUUUUAUAUAAAGGUUAGAUUUAGUUAUAUUAUUUUGAUAUCUCUAUUAUCGUAUUAUUUUGUUAUUCUUUACGGGUGGUAAAUAAGUGUCGGACGACUUUGAGAAAUUUUUUUUGUGCAAAGAUUAGAUUUAAUUGUGUUAUUUGAUAUCUCUAUCAUUGUAUUAUUUUGUUGCAAUUUACAGAUUGUAGAUGAAUAUUGAUCGACUUUUAAAAUAUUUUUUGGUAAAGAUUAGGUUUAAUAAAUAAAUUCUUCAUCUUGACAUACUCAAAAGAUAUUAAAUCUAAUUUUAUAUUCAUCUUUAUUAUUUAAAUAAUUAUCCUCUUUAAUUUAAUGUUUGAACUCAUUAAAGUGAAGUACACAUGCAAGACGCGUACACCUAAACUAGUAAUAUUAAAAGUGUGAAAACCUUUAAAAAAGUGAUUUGAGCUUUUUGUCAUUCAUUAAAAGUCUCCGCAGUAGACAAAAUUAUCUUUUUCACUUUUGUCUUAAAUUAUUAUUAAUAUAUAGAAAUAAUUUUAAAUUUAUAAAAUUCAUCAAAUUUGUUUUUCUUAUACGAAUUUUGCUAGAAUUAGAAUCUUUAUCAUAUAUUUUAUGACUCCUUACCAUAUGUUUUAGAAUUCCUUUAUUAUUAAUUCUACUCUUAUACUCAACCAAAACCAACUCAAACUAAACUUUCACUUAAACCAAUUAAAAUUUAAUUUUUGAAAAGUUGUCCAAAUAUUACUGUAGUAAAAGUUUUUCAGAUAUAGUAUAGUACGUGUGAUUUUUAACUAGGAUUUUAUUUUUUUAAAAAAAGCUAUUUUUAAGGACUUCUAUUUUGGACUUUCUUUUUUAAAAUCAAAGUUGGUUUAGGAUUUUUUUUUUUUUGAAAAAAUAAAUCAACACUAUACAUUAUUUAGGUCUUUAAUUAAUUAACGUCCUUAUUUUAUGUAGGUAAUAAAUCAUAAUAUUUAACAAUUCUAAAUUGAUUAAAAUUUUACCUUAUAUAUAAAAAGAAUGUCCACAAUACUAUAAAUAAUAUUUUCAAUCAAACUUUACAAGAAAUGUAAAGAUUCGGUUUCUUCUACUUUUAGUUUUCUUCUUAUUUUGAUUCAAGUUAUAUUCUUGCGUUCAUUGUUUUUAUUCUUUACGUCUUCCUUUAUUUGGUGUAGCCAAGAGUUUUUAAGACAUGCUAACUACUUGAAUAUUUUUAAUUGUUGAGGCUUUUUAUACUCAUCAUUGUGUUAUGAAAUUUUUAAGUCACUUUUAUUUUUGUCUUUAUUUUAACAUGUUCCAAAACUAAUUUAAAAACUAUUGUACGUAGAGAAAAAAAUAGAUUUAUGUAUAAAUUUUUCUAUCCAUUGAAAUCUUGGUAAUAUCCAUGAUAAUUGAAGAGCUAAAUUUGAUUGUGAUUUGAGGUAAAUUUUUUAAAUUUUAGUACAACUUUGAUGUUUACAAUAAAUAAAUUAUUCUCUGAUCUUGAUAAACAAUUGUUAAUUGAGAUUUUUUUUUUAAAUGCAGAAUCUUGAUAUAUCUUAUGAUUGAAGCGACAAAUUUGCUUGUAAUUUGAGGUAAACUUUCUAAAAUUUUAGUAUGUUCUUGAAAUUUACAAUCAUAAAUUAUUUCUUGAUAGACAAAUGUUAAUUGAGAAUUUUUUUGUUUGUUUGUGAAAUGUUGAUAAUAUCUUUAAUUGAAGACAUUCCGUCACAACAAAUCGAUUAAUCAUUCUAAUCCUUUUGGAAGUCUUGCUUAAAAUUUAAUCAUAUGUAACUAUUUUAAUUGUGAAUCAAUUAUUUAAUAAUUGACUCUAAUGAUUCUCUGUUUUUUUUUUUUUUGAACAAACUAUAUUAUUUAAAUUGAUAUAAUGCUACUUGUUAAUACUUUUACUCUUUCAUGUAUAGUUUGAUUGAUGAGAGACACACGUGCAAAGCACGUACACUAAAAGAUUAGAAUAUUAAUGUAACAACGUAAUGAAGUGUAAGGCAGAAUACAUAUAUAUUUUACAUGGUAUCAGAGCCAUUGGAGGUUAAACUAACCCAUUUUUUUCUUCAAUAAACACACCUAGAUGUUGAAUUCGUCAAACUAAUAUUGCUCUCACUGAAAAACAAGCGCGUAUAGGCCUACCUAGCAUUCAGGUGUAUUUUAAUACAAAGAGAAUGAUGUAAUUUAGAUAGUAAAUGAAAUUAACUAUAAUUGAAGCAUGAAACUCUCAAAAAUAUCAUAUGAUAGUUCAAAUAUGCUACUGACCAUUAACGUUACAUUUAAACAUAUCUUUUUUUAAGUUCAAACGACAUAUAUGUUCAACAUAUAGACUUACUUCAUGUCCAAUAAUAUCAUCCUUUAAUCUAUUGAUUAGUGAUGAAGUUGGAAGAACCAAAGAGUCAUUUAAGAUCCAUUGGAAAGUCUCUUUGGCUACAAAUUCCUCCAUAACUAUCAAACAAGUAACCACAACCAUUGGAAUGGCAAUUGUUAAAGUAGAACAAGUUAUAUAUAUAGAAAGUUUAAUUACCUCAAUUUUUGCACAGUGUACACAAUCUAAUUUACCAUAUUUGGUUGAUUCUUCUACCAUUUCAUCAAAGUAAUCUAAAAAGACUUGAUAAUGAGGUCUCAUGUAGGGCGGUAUCGAAUCCAUUGCACCAAUGUCGCAUCUACAUAUGCAUAAAUAACAUUUAUAUUUCUUAUUCAACAAUGUAAAUAACAAAGAACUGAUAAUUAAGUUUUGUAGUUUCGCCUUUCGACUUCACCAAUAAAAGGCACUAGUUCGUCAUAAGUUCCAUAAGCAUCAUAGCGACUAAUUUUGCUAACGUUCUUCUUGUACGUCUAUACUGAGGCUCAUAAUACACUCCCGUUGCCCAAUUGUGUGUCUUGCAUAUGCAAAAUUGUUUACAGGAUCUAAAUCUUUCCACCACCACCUAUAAUAUGUAUACACAUGAAGUAUAUAUGUAUAUUCGUGUGAUUAAUUAAAGAAGAUACAUAUGUAUGUACCUUGUAAGUUCUCAAAGCUCUCUUUGAUGCACCUUUUGCACAAUGUGGAAAUCCGAUUUCGCAAAUCAUCAUGUGAUUCGAUGUUUUCGUAUAUACGUAUGUAUUUUCUUGCUGCCACUCUUGGUACAUUUAUAUAAAUGGGCUGGAUCAAGGCUUCACUAACUUGGGCCUUGUGUGAGUUGUCCAAUUUAGGGCCCAUAGACUCGAGAUGAGUUGUGGUAAAAGUUGGAUCUUCUUCAAGAAUGUCUUCAUCGUGUACUCUUAGAUCUGUUAUUACUGCAAGUGGGGUCAUUUUCUCUGAUUUGUUAUUACUGUUUCUUUUGUUUUCAAAAUUUCUACUCUGAAAUUACUUCCCCUUUUUUUUCUAGAUACUCAAUCUUCAGAGGAUUUUGUGUAAUUGCUAUAUAUGCAAGGGUGUAUAAAAUGUGUAUAGAAAAUUUAUAAUUAUUGUAUAAAAUAUGUAUGUGUAUUAGAUUUUAUGGAAUAUAUAUAUAAUGUAUAUAUACGCUGUAUAUUGUGGUGUAUAAUAUGUAUCUGUAUGAGCUCUCUAUGGAAACUACAUAGGAUAUGUAUAGAAAUUGUGUAAUUGUUGUAUAGAAUGUGCAUCUAAAUAAUUAUUGAUCUAAAUAUCGUAUAGGACAUGUAUAUAAAUUAUAUAAUUAUUGUAUAAAAUAUAUAUUUGUAUAAGAUUUUUAUAUAAAAUAUAUAGAAUGUGUAUAUAAUCUGUAUCAUUGUUUUGUAGAAUAUAUAUCUGCAUAAGAUCUCUAUGGAAACUGCAUAGGAUAUGUAUAGAAACUAUAUAAUUGUUGUAUAAAAUAUGUUUCUAAAUAAUUAUUAUAUCCAAAUGUUGUAUAAGAUGUGUAUGCAAAUUGGAUAAUAAUUGUAUAAAAUAUGUAUGUGUAUAUGAUGUGUACAGAAGUCAUAUAAUUAUUCUAUAUAAAAUGUAUCGGUAUAGGAUGUGUAUAAUAUAUAUAUAUAUAUAUACACGUAGGUUUGUGUAGACAAACUGUAAAAUUGAUGUAUUGUCACGACCCGAAUCAGGGUUUUGCCGUGAAAGGCAUCCCAAGUCCACCGAGGACUGGAGACCGCCCCCUGAGCCUAUUCCAUCACACUAAGAACACCUAAUGGCAGAUGAAUACCAAUAAAUGAUAAAAUAUAAUUAGAAAUUCAAGAAGAAUCUAUGAUGGAUCAAUAUUCGAAAACAUCCACAAUACCCAUGUCCACAGUAUCCAACAAAGCCUCUAACAAAAUCGGACAACAAUAAAAUGUCUGGACAUGCUCUCGACUACAGCCAAAAAUAAGUCUAAACAAGUCUAUGACAUAAGGGACCAAAACAUGAAAUGUAGACUUCCGAUGUAUGGAAGCGCACCACUUCAAUGUAAACUCACGAAUUGCUCUCGAAUCCUAGUCACUGUUAGGAGAAGUAGAAGUAUGGUAAAAUACUGCAUCGCAUGGGGAUACAACGUCCGAAGACGGUUAGCGGUUGCAGCGCUAGCAUGUAACUCAGGGCUAGUGAUAGUGAUUCAUAUUUUUGAUUUAUUUAUAAUUUUUUUGAUACAUUUAACAUAUGAAAGACAUAUGUAAAUUAUUUAUUUUUGUAUGAGAUUGAAUUUUUAAUGGGUAUUGAGUAAUUUUACCAAAUAUAUCAUUAAUGAUACAUACCAGAUUAUUUAUUUUUGUAUGAGAUUGAAUUUUUAAUGGGUAUUGAGUAAUUUUACCAAAUAUAUCAUUAAUGAUACAUCUGGAACCAGAUGUAUUAUUAUGAUACAUCUGAAAUCAGAUAGAUUUAUACCAUGAUUUUCGCCUAGUUUUACUCCCUGUAUUUAUUGAAAAUCAGUUACUUCCUUAUUUAACUAACCACUAAAUUACAAAUGUAUCACAAUGCAUAUGUAUCAAGGCUAAAAAUAUGAAUCAAAAAUAUCAAAAUCCGGGAUAUCAUGUAAUUAAACAAGAUUAUGGGAAAAAGUGUUAGAACCCAUUAUAUAUACAAGGUAGUUUUUUGCGCCCCUGUUUGCGUCGCCUCUAACGGGUGCUGGAGUACCACAAAUUUUCACGUAGCCAUAGGUCUGACCCUGGGGCAAAUACAGAUGCACAUUUUCAUGUCCUUGCCUUGUGGUGGGUAUGAAUUCUGAUGCAAUUGUUAUUAGCAAGUGAAAAGUUAAAACGAAAGAAUAACAAUUGAUGAAGCUAAUGACUGUUGAAGGUGAUUCUUAAAAGUUUACUCCUUACAUUCUUUCUUACUUGUCACUGUUUCAUUUUUGAGAGUCACAACGAUAUGAACUUUGAUCAACAUUUCAAGUACUUUUUCAUUAAAUUGAAAUGAAAAAAAGAAUUGAAACUUAGAGUACUUUUCAUAUAGUUUUUGAAUAUCGACAUUUUAUUUUUAAAAUAUUGAAUUAAGAGGGCAAAUGUCAUUAGUUUUUCAAACCCAAGAAAUAGAACAUAUCAAAAGUGAUGAUAAAAUAGGGAUGUCAAGUGCUCCAGUAUAUGCAUACAUAUACAGCUUGUUCGGAUGGUUGUUACCUAUUGUGUUGUACUGUGUUAGAUGUUUUAAUAUAAUUUUGACUUGAUUGUUGCUUAAAGUUUAUUGUACUGUAUUGUUUAGUGAUGAUGAAAUGUCCCAUCUAUUACUUAAUAAUUUUUUAAAUCCUAAUUUAGCCUAUAUUAGUUUUAUUGUAUACCCCUAUCCCUACUUUUGAUCUUCUAGAGUUUUCUUUUAAAUUAUUAAUAUGUGACAUUAUAAUACAACAACAAAAGACACAAUCUAUUUAACUGAUUGUAUUGAUACGACACGUUAGGAAACAAUACAUAACAACUAUCCAAACAAAGUAAAAGAAAUAUGAACGAAAAACAACACACAGUAACAGGACUCAUGCAAACUUUAAUGGAAUUAAAGCAGCAACCCCCCGCUCCUCCCUCCUUUAUUUCUAAGUUUUGGAAACAUUAUUUGCCUCAAAGGUACAUUCAUUAUCCAGAUGAUGUACUAUAGACAGAGUCCACAAACAGCAUGGUGAUCACGUCUUUAAGGAAGCUUUGUGAAUCUGUAAAAUCAUCCUUUUGGAGAAUAUGUACGAGACGUGAAAGAUUUAAGGCAGGUUCGAGGACAAACGUUGGUACUUUAGUAACACGUAAAUACGCCGCGUUUAUGUCUUUCCAUGCAUUCGCGAUUUGCCUCCAAGCCUCACCACACGCCUCUUGUUCUGAAACUCUAUAUUCUUUCAUGUAGCAUUCGAUGAAUGAAGCUUCAUGUUCUCUUUGUUGUUCGUGCUACAUCAAAUAUAAUACAUUUUAGUAUAGUAUGAUGUUUCAACAUUUGUUUUAUUUUCAAAUAAUAUGUAUAUAUACUUACUUCAUGUCCAAUAAUAUCGUCCUUCAAUCUGUUGAUUAGUGAUGAAGCUGGAAGAACAAGAGACUCAUUUAUCACCCAUUCGAAAGUCUCUUUGGAUAUAAAUUCCUCAGCAACAAUCAAACUAGUUAUCAGAAUCAACUGAUUGGAAACUGUUAUAGUAGCAUUUCUCUUAUAGUCCUCACAUUUUGGACUAACGCCAUAUCUCAACCAUUCCGCUUCCUUAAGAUAGCUUUUCGUCCACUUAUUCGUCUGAAAAUGUAUAUUACAAGGGUUAUAUGUGUGUGUAUACGUAUAUAUACAUAUAUUUGCGCAUAAAGAGGUCUCAUAUAGGGCGAUAUCGAAUCCAUAGCACUAAUGUCACAUCUGCACAUGCAUAAAUAACACAUAUAUUUCUUACUCAAAAAGGUAGCGGGGAGUAAUUAAGUUUAUAUGUAGUUAUUCACCUCUCAAUUGCUUCGGUGAAAGGCACAAGUUCGUCAUAAGUUGCAUAAGCAUCAUAGAGAUCAUCAGUGAUGGUGAUGAUAACGAUUAAUUUUGUUAUAGUUCUUCUUGCAUGUCUGUAUUCAGGCCUAAAAUACACCCCCGUUGCCCAAUGGUAACACUCCACAAAUUUGUCUCUUGCAUAUGGAUAUUUGUUUUCAUGAUCCAAAUCUUUCCACCACCUAUAUAUAUGUAUGUAACAUGUAUAUUAUAUCACGCGAGCUAUAUACCAUAUUCGUAUGAUUAAUUAAAGAAGACAUAUAUACAUGUACAUACCUUGUAAGUUCGCUAAGCUCUCUUUGAUGCACCUUUUGCAAAAUGUGGAAAUCCAAUUUUGCAAAUUUUAAAAGCAAAUCAUCAUGUGAUUCGAUGUUUUCGUACAUACGUAUGUAUUUUUUUGCGUCCACUCUUGGAACAUUUGUAUAAAUGGUCCGGAUCAAGGCUUCACUAACGUGGGUUUUAAGUGAGUUGGUCAAUUUUGGGCCCUCGGACUUGAGAUGGGUGAUUGUAAAAGUUAGAGCUUCUUCAAGAAUGUCUUCAUGGUGUACUCUUACAUGUGCUGCUUCGUACAAACUUAAUAAUCCUAGCACAUCGUUAGUAAUAGUUUCCUUGAACUUGCCAUCAUUGUUGGUGAAUUUCUUGAACACAUCUGAUUAAUUAUUAUCAUGUUGAGAUAUUAAAUGAUUUAAAAAGACAUAUGCCCAAUUAAUGGAAGUAUAUAUAUAUAUAUGCACAUACAUUCACCUAUAUGUGUGUGCCCGUGUGUGUGGGGACGCGCGUUUGUGUGUACAAGUAUACGUAUAAAUACACAUACAUACAUAUAUAUAAUUCUUGAUAAUGAGAUUUGAUAUGAUUCUGUUGUUCCAUGUCUCAAUGUAGAGAAAGUGUAUAGGUGAUCCUUCAUCGGUUGUUCCUUUGGAAGAAUUGGGUGUUUUGGAUUCUUUGUCCCAUGAAGAGAUCCUUCCACCUUCUCCAAGUCUCUUAUGGAAGAUAGAGUCAACUCUACCAGUCUACCUACAUCUAUCUAAUUCCUAAGUGCAAAAAUGCUUUCUUCUCUUAAGAAUUUUAGACUCAUAGAGCUUUGUAAUACCAGUACAAAAUUAUCACCAAAAUAGUUGCCAACAGAAUCAAGCCCUUUCUUUAGGAUAUUAUUGGGCAUAAUCAAGCCAGCUUCCUCUCCUCUAGAAGAGCUGUAGAUAAUGUUAUUAUUGUUCAAGAGUACUUGAAUCAUUUCAAUAGAGUGACCGGUAAAAAAGGGAAUAUACUUCUAAAGAUAGACCUUGAGAAAGGCUUUGAUAGGCUUGAAUGGUCUUUCAUCAGACAAGCUCUAUUCUUCUUUAACUUCUCCCCACCCUCUUUAGAUUUAUUAUGUCCCGCAUCUCCACAUCCUUUAUCUCUGUUCUUGUUAAUGGAAGCACCACCCCCAACUUCAAGCCUACUAGGGGCAUUAGACAGGGAGACUCCAUGUCCCUCUAAUUUUUUUAUCCUUUGCAUGAAACUUCUCUCUAGGAGAAUUAAUCAUAAGUAGACAUCCUUAAGUAGACCCCCAUUUCUAUCAACAGAAAGGGCCCCCUUAUCUCUCAUCUUUUCUUUGCUGAUGAUAUCACCCUCUUUGCCAGGCCUGAUAGAGGCAACUGCUUUACUAUCACAAAUAAAUAUCCUUCAAAGUUUCACUGAUCACUCGGGUUAGAAGGUUAAUCUUGCCAAAAGGUUUUUUCUCCAAAAACUACAACCUUGCCACCCAAUAGGAUCUCUCUAGCAUUCUAGGCACUAAACCCAAUUCCAGCUUUGGAAAUACUUGAGAUUUCCUAUGUUCCAAUUCACUCCUAGGGCUAAUGACUUUCAAUUUAUCAUGGAGAAUAUGAGUAGUGAACUAGUGGGGUGGAAAAUCAAUUUUCUUAACAUGACUGGCAGAACUAUCUUAGCUAAAACCUCUCUAAGUGGGAUGCUAAUCAUGUGAAGCAGUAUAACUUCUUUCCUGGGAGAAGUUUUAAGCUUACUAAUAGAAUUCAGAGGAACUUCACAUGGGGGACCACUAAUUCUUAGAAGAAAAUGCAGAUAGGACACCAUAACUAAGACAAAGAGAGAUGGUGAGUUAGGUAUGCAGAAGGCUAGUAUUAAGAAUGACACUCUUCUUUGUAGCUUGGCUUGGAGGAUCCAUUCCACUCCCUCCUCACUUUGGGCUAUUGUCCUUACUAAUAAGUACAGAAACAAUUUGGAUAAUCCCACUCCCUAUGUCUUUAGAAUUUCGAGGAAUAUCUCUAGAAGUUGGACCUUAUGUAGGAAUGAUAUUCAGUGGGGUAUUUAUAAUAGUAAUAAGGUGGAUACUUGAAGGGACAGAUGGAUUCCUAAUUGACACCCUUUGCCAGCUUAUCUAGGGCCCUCUUCUAAAUUCCUGCCCUCCCUCCUCUUUAUUUCAUAUUUGGAACAAUGGGAAAUGAAAUCUUAGUUUCCUCCCAUUUCAAAUUCCCUAGCUACCAAGCAUAUCUUCUUCCUAAUCCUAAGCUGAAAACUAACUCUCCUUUUUGGAUUUUGAUUGACAAGGAUACUUUUUUCUGCAAGAGUGCUUGUUUUCACUUAAGCAGGAGAGAGUCUAACUCCGAUCCCCUCCACCUCUUCUUGGAAUUGGAUCUAACACACUCGUAUCCCUAACAAGUUACAAUUCUUUCUAUGACUGAUGCACUACAAAAGUCUUUCUACAAGAGCCAUUUUGGCUCAUAGGGGCGUAAAUAUUAACCCCCCUGCCUAACUUGCAACCACCCCUCCGAGGAUAUCCCUCAUAUCUUUUUUUAUUGUAACUGUGCUACUUCCUUUUGGACUGAUCUCAUUAAUUAUUAUAUGGGUAGCCUCACCAUCACUACUUAGCACUUUUCCCCUUCUCAUUGGGACAACACCAAAAAUACCUCCUCUAUUUCUCUUUCGACAAUUUGAUUCCUGGUCCGUCCUUCUCCCCUUCUACCUCUGGUAAAUCUGAAAGAACAGGAACAAUAAUCUCUAUAAUAAUCUCAAUUGUCAUCCCAGUAUUAACAAUGCCUAUUCUAAGGCUAUAGAGUUCUUCCACUUGAGCACCCUGCCCCUCGUCUUUCCAUCCUUGUUAGCUGGACCCCUCCUUCUAAUAAUCACUUCAAGCUCAAUACUAAUGGAGCUUGCCAUGGAAAUCCUGGAAAAUGUAUUAUUGGGGGAGUCAUUAGAGACUCAUUGGAUCUGGGGUUUCUUCCAAAGCUUCCAUUACACUAUUAAUAUCCAUAUGGAACUCUUAGCUUUACAUAAAGGUUUUGUUGUUGCUAUAGAACACCAUCUUUUUCAAUUGAAAUUACCAUUGAUUCCCAGCUGAUUAUCCUUAUGUUGCAGCACAGUCAUUUAUUAUGUAACCCUAUCCUUGAUGCUUGCAGAUCCUUGAUAAAAAGAAUGGGAGGUUCGUCACAGCUAUAAAUAGCAAAAUCGGGUUGUGGAUGCUUUGGCAAAAGAAAGAGUAAAGCAGAAUCAAUUUGCAAAUUAUAUAUUUUUGGAUGCCCCCCACCCCUUUCACUUUUUGUAGGCCAUGAUAUUUGGACGGAUAAGAUAGGAACUUGUUAUUGUAGGGACGUACCUUCAACUGUAGCUUCUAUUGGGCAUGACCUGUUUUUGUAACUGAGCUAGAUUAGGUUCAUGAACUCUGUUUAGUCCUUUUAAUCUAUGCACAUCUUCUUCAUAAAAAAAUAGUUAUAACUUUACAAAAGAUGACAUGCGUAUCGUCUGAAUAAUUAUUUUUUCAAUUGAUUUCUAGUUAGGAGUAUUCAUAAAUUAAAUUUUACUGUGCAUAAUUACACAUUUAACUAUAAGUGGAAAUGAAGAUAAGAUGACAUAGGUACAAGCAAUUAAUACUCGUCUGGAUAGUUAUUUUUCCAAUGGAUUUCUAAUUAAGAGUAUUCACAAAUUAAAUUUUGUUGUCUGUAAUUACGUAUCUAUAGAGCUGUCAAAAUGUGCUGGCCCAACCCAACCAAACUCUAGCGGGCUAGAGAAUUAAAUAGGCUAGGACGGGCUAGCCUUUUAAAUAAAGGACCUUUAAAAUAGCAGUUCAACCCAGUCCUAAGCGGGCUGCAGGUCGAAACGGGUUUGCCCUUCAUAAAAAUAAAAGCAACCUCAAAUAUGAUAAACGAAAAUAUUGUAAGUACUAGACUAUCACCAACUUUUAUGAUUUCACUUUAAAAUGUCUCCUACUAGUUUUUAGCAUGUUAUACGCAUCUUACUAUUACCUUUAAGGGUUAUUAGGUAAUUAAUCUCGAGAUUAGUUAUUCCACCAUGUAUACGGAUAAUUUAUCUCAUCACUAUGGUGUAAAUGGUGUGAUAAAUAAUUUUAAUACUAACUAAUACCUCACACCAAACAUGGGAUAAAAUAGUCCUUCAUUUUAUCCCGGACUAUUUAUCCCUUAUACCUCACACCAAACGAUCCCGUAGUUGUAAUUAGUUCAUGGCAUUUACUGUAAUAAGCAAAUAAAUGAUGAUUUGCUACAAAUAUCGUAGAAAAAUUCUAAUAUGGUCAAGAUAAUAAAUACAAAUAUACACAAAGUAUCUACAUAAAAGUUAUAAGACUAUAACAAAAAGAGCCUAAAUUUAAAGAACAGAAUAUUGCAUUAAGCAAAUGCAACAACUACUAAAGCAUCGCGAGUAAAAACAACUUUUUGAAUUUUACAACUAAAAGCAGCUUACGAGUCAUUUCAAAAACACACUAAGAAGUUUCAAAAAAUUAGUAUCAACCAAAGAAUGGAUAGAAAAAAUAAGUAGCUAGUUAGUAAAGAUUGACAAAAUUCUAAUUCCUAAUGAAAACAAUGACCAACUUAGAAAUGUUUAAUAAUUAUUCUUAAUGUCCCAGCCCAUGGGCUGGUCUCUGAGGCCGACGGGUUACGCCUCUGAGGCCGAUAGGCCAAGUGAGGCUGGCUUUAUAAGCCUCAUUUCUAAAUAGGCUGAAAAAACUUAACCCAACCUCACUUAAUUAAAGAAUUAAAUUGAUCCGGCCUCACAGGCCAAGCCCAUUUUGACAACUCUACCCAUCUAACUAUAAGUGGGAAUGAAAAUGUGUUUACUCUUUCAUUUGUAAUUGAAUUACCUCUAAGCUAAUUUAACUUGACUAUAUGUUCUUUUUUAGUUUUGAGUUUUAACAAAGCCACAUCUAACAAUAACAACAAUAUAUCCAAUAUAAUCUCACAAGUCAAAUUUAAGGACGAUAGAGUGUAUACAGACCUUACCUUUAUCUCUGUUUGUGAAAGACUCUCAGCUUAAAAGAACAUGUCAACAUUUGAAAAAAGGGAAUGCGGAUAUGGGAUUAAGUCUCAACUAAGUGAUAUAAAUAUUAUAUUUUCAGUUUAGUAAAACUUUUGAAUUCAUAAAGAUUAAAUUCUAAAUUCACCUCGGCAAUAAUUUUACAUUUGAGCAGAAUAACAUUAAUAUUGCAUAGUAUAAAUAGAGAAGAGAAGCGAUACCAGAAGACAUGUAAUGCCUUUGUUGUCUCACUAGUCUAAAACAAAGAGCAACAAAGUAAAGAUCGUCGUCAUCAUCUUCAUUUCUAUUCUGUUCGGACUCAUAAAAAAUGUUCUGAAUAGAUAUUUUGAUCUCAUUUUCGAAAUGAUAUCCCACUCCCAAUCGUUGGAUUGUGUCAAUCAAGACAAGUUUUUGUAUACUAUUAUCAGAAGUUUCCACUAAUAUUUGCCUCACUUUUCUUUCAACUCUUCAACUUCAUCUUUUCCUUGGCUACUAAUUUCCUGCCCAAAAAAUUAAUCUUUAGUAUUGUUGUACUAUCUUUUCAUAAAAUAACAACAAAUGCAAUACAACACCGAUAACAUAUUCAAUGUAAUUCUAUAGGUGAAAUCUAGGAAGGAUAGAGUUUACGCAUAUCUUUACCCUACCUUGUGAAAAUAGAGGUUGUUUCUGAAAGACCUCUACUCAAAUAAUGCAUAGCAAAUAAUUUGAAAAAAGAAAACUACAAAAGCAAAGAAGACAUAUAUAGCAAAUAAUAGGUUAUAUAUAGUAUUCAAAAAAACAAGCAACAAUAAUAAUAUUUAAAAAAAUAUGAUAAAAUAUAUAAUAAUACAAUAAUCGAACCACAUAUAACUACGGAAGGUAAAAAAAUCGUAGGAUCGGAUAAGAAACUACGAGACUAAUCAGAGGCGGAUCCAGGAUUCAAAAGUUCCGGGUGCCCCUUGUUUUGAACAAUAACGUAUACUUCGUACGAUAUUUUAGGAUAGUGGAGUCAAUAUUCAAAGAAUAAACUAUAAUUAUAUAUAUCAACAAAUGUUGGUAUUAGAUGAAGGUCUGCCUAGUUGGUAUUGUCAAGUACUUUGUAAGAAGAGGUUAAGGGUUCCAUUAUUCAUAGCCACGAUAUGUUUUUUUUUUAAGAGACAACAGAUAGUAUAGUGAUAAAAAUCAAUCUAAAAAACUGAAAAUACAGUGUUGAGCGGGAAUCAAAACCACGCUGCUGGAGUAAAACCCAACCAUUUCAACCACUUGCACCACCAAUUUCUUUAAUAUUGUGGGUGUCAAGCAUAAUAUUUAUACAUUAGCUGAUACAUAUAUACAUAAAUAUACAAAGUUUCAACCGAGAAGUGCGGGUACCGUGGCACCCCAAACCUUCUGCAUAGAUCCGCCCCUGAGAUUAAUACUAUACUUUUGAUAUGAACAGACAAACAAAUACGGUACAUCAAACUACCACGAAGCCUAUCCCACAGAAAAACGAGACGUAUAUGAGUGUAUGUGUACAUAACAUACAGUGAGUUGAGAGUGUAGGAGAGAAAAUAUUCUCCCCAAACACUUUUGUGAUAAUUUGCCAAUGGACGUUUAAUAUUGUUGGUAUCCAUCAUGGCUAAUUGGCUCAUAAUACCUUUCUCUCUCUAAAAUGAUUUUCCUUGCUUUAAUUUGAUAUAUUUGCUUCAAUAUGGUAAUGAGGGAUUUUAUAGUGUGUACCUGAGACAAUUUUCAACUGAUAGAAGUUAUCCAAAGGGCUUUCCCAAUUUAAUAUUCCCUCCGUACGUUUGUAUUAGUUGGUCGCUAUGAAUUUGACAACCUAUUGAGAAAACAAUGAAUAGAGAUGUAUUUUACAUAUUUAUUCUUGUAUGCCUUUUAAAGUUUAAUAAGUAAUUAAUAAAAUAAUUAAAUAUUAAAAUUUGUUACAUAUUACUCUAUUUUUACGAGGUAAGAUAAAGAUCUUUUCAAAAUUACUAUAUUUAUUACUUCUUGUUAAAAUUACUCUCUUAAUUACUACUCCCUUCGUUCCAUUUUACUCGUCUCAAAUUUUUAAAUUUGUUGUCCAAUUUUACUUGUCCUUUUUUACUUAUCAAGACAAGAUAAUUUUUUUUUCCAUUAUACCCGUAGGACUCGUUUGAUAGAGUGUAUAAGAUAAUACUGAAUAUGUUGUAUUAGUAAUAUUGGGAUUAGUAGUGUAGGGAUUAGUAAUACUGGGAUUAGUAAUACUGAAAUUAUUUUUUAUGCAGUGUUUGGUUUGAUGUAUUAAAAACAAUAUGUAUUGUUAAUUUUAAAAAUAAUAUUGUUUGUUUACAAAAAUACCCUCGACAUAUUAUAACUUUGUGUAUUUUUUUUGUAAAAGUUUAUUAUUCUUUUUUUAAAAUAAAAAAAGUUAACAAUAUAACUAAUUAUUUACUUUAGAAUUUUAAGAUUUAAUCAUUCACUUACAAAAAUUAUUUUUUAAUUAUCUUUUCUUUGUUUGUUCAUCAUUUGCUUGUUGUUCUCACUUUGUGUUGUUUUUAAGUUGGAGGGAGUUACGUAUAACUUUUGGAUGAGACAAUAAAAUCAUUAUUAAAAUAAAAUUGUAUUCUAUAGAGUGUUAAAACUAAGUAGAAAAAUUAUUUUUAUUUAUGGAUAUCCUAUUUACAAAAUUAAACCUUGUAUGCAAUUUGUUUUCGGAUUUUGACCAAUAAAUAUUUUUUUGAGUUAAUGGAGUAGUUUUUUUUACAACUAAAAUUAUUUGGAGGGAUACCAUUAUUUUGAUAAAUUGAAAAGAAGUAACUCAUAUUGAAUAAAUUGAAGAAGAUUUAGGAAAAAAUUAAAGAAAUUUGAGGAUAUUUUUGUAAAUAAUAAUAAAAUUUGUAAACUAAUUUAUUUGAAUAAAUUUAUUAGUACAAAUAUAAAAAAUAAAAUUAAGAAAAUAAAAAAAUAUUUAAAAGAAUUUGAGGGAUAUUUUUGUCUUUAUACAUACUAAUUCAUGGUAUUUAAACCCAUGUAUUACUAAUACCACCAUAUGUGAUGUAUUAGUAAUACACCCUAUAAUACCAUUUAGGCUGUAUAACUAAUACAUGGUAUUAGUAAUACAUUGGUUCAAAAUCCUACCAAACAUAGUAUUAAUUAAUAUCACACUUAAUACAUGAACUAUUUCUCCUGAUACGGCCUACCAAACGACCCCUUAGUGUAAUUGAUUAUUUCUUAUUAUUAGCAUUCUUGAAAAAUGUUGUAAAGAGGAGUACCAUUAAGAGUACACCAUUAAGAAUAUAAAUGGUGCUUUGAUAUUAGUCAGCCAUCAAUAUUGGAAUUAACAACAAGACACAAUUAAGAGGGACAAAAUGGUAAAGUUACAUUACCAAUCAUUAUUUUCUUAAUAGCUGUGUCAUCCCAAUUUGGGACAGGUAAAAUGGGAUGGAGGGAGUACUACAUUAUGUUUAGAAGAUUGAAUAUUUUUAAUUGAAACUAAUAAUAAUUUAAUUUCAAUUUUGAGAAUUAGAUCAUUUAUGUCACAUUCAAUAAUUUUGAAAACUGUGAAUGUAUUUAGUAUUCCUAUUAAGGAUUAAAAUGGUGACUGUCAUUUCCUUCCUUUUGUGUUUCAAGUAAUUUUUGAAGUCUUUCAACAAAGGUGUCAACUUCUCUAUUAUUGUAGCAACUUGAAAGACCUCGUUCACAAUCAAACCUUCAACAAGGAGAUUGUGGAUAAUAACUUGCAAUUCCUGUAGUUGAGAUACGACAAUCUUACUGUCAAUCAUUUUGUACUUAAGGAACCUUGUAACAAAGAACUUCUUAGUUCCAGCAUCCUCAGUCAUAUAUUUUCUUUCCGGUGCAUUCCACAACUCUUUUAAUGUCUUCAUUCCACUGUAAACGUUGUAUAUAUCGUCUUAGAGGCCACUUGAGAUAUAAUUCCUACAUAGGAAAUCAGAAUAUAUAUUUUCAUGUCUUUAUUACAAUAAACCGCUCCUUGUUCGAAGUUUCUUCGGGCAAUUCUGAAGCAUCUUCAGAUAUAUAGAAUAACAUUUUUUGUUGCUGCCGUUUAAAAUCUAUUUCAGAAAUUUUUUUGGCCUUUUCCGCUGGUACCAUAGCCAUGGCGCAGUUGUACGAUUGGUUGUAGCAACAUUCAUUGCUGCUACACUUGUCCCACCAUCAGACCAUCAAUAAUCAUCUUUCCUGUCAAAAAAAGACAGUCAAAUUUUGUAUAUCAAAAUGCUAAUUACAAGUUUGAAGCAACUUUAAUCACUACUUAUUUCUAGUUUAACGAUGAAGUUUUUAUGUCUUCUAAUCGUUAAUAGAAUGACCUUUAAUUUGUGAUGAAGUUUUUAUUUCUUCAAAUCACUUGUUAAGUUCAAACAGAGUAGAAAGCAUAAAGCUUUAAUCUCCGAAAAUUAAACAAUACAGGUUACGAAAAUUAAUUCGUUAAGAUUGUGGUUUUAGGUACACAAUCUGUAUGUUUGCACUCUACACUUCAACACAAGUUCAAGACUGUUUUAAGAGCAAUGGAGUGUUAACACAUUCAACACAAGUUUAACAUGAACUAUCAAAGAAGUGUGUUUAUUUACAAGAAGUAAGAUAAAGUAGAAAUAGAACCAAGUCCUCCGAUUUAACGGAGUGUCCUUAAGGAAUUAAUUCCCCUCAAGUAUCCGAGGUUGCGGAAUUUUUUCUCCCAGAAUAAAAUGGCUCACAAUCUGAAUGUAACAGUACCUCAAAUCUUCAGAUUCUUCGAACACACUCAACGACUGAUGAUCACAAAGAGUUUUUUGAAUGUAGAAGAGUCUUUUUCAAUUCUGGAAUUUUCGUACAUACCUGAGGAAAAAGUUCAGGUAUUUAUAGCCACCAAGUGCCUCUUUGAAAAGGAAACAAUAGUUCAUCGGAAGGUGUAUCACUUCAGAACAGUCAUGUAUGUCCAUUCCGAAACAGUGUCUUUUUCUAAAUAGUCACAUCAGAUUGAACAGUCAUCCCUUUUUCGAAAUAAUGUGUCAUUUCCUUAAAAGGUUGCAUCCCUUUCUAGCUACGUUUCUGUUCAUGGAGAAAAUAUUUUUCAUUGGAUUAAACUUUGUCUAAAAAAUUAAUCUCAUUGAUUAUUUUUCAAAUCCAAAUCCGAAGCCGACCGAGCAACGACGACAACGGCGUGAGGCACCUCUUGAUUCUUGCCUCACUAUAUACUUGAAGAAGUGUUUCUUAAUAAAAACACAAUAAAUUUACUUUCUCCCACCAAUGCGAGAGAAGUAGACUUUCCUCAAGUGCACACACUUUCCUUUUAAGUGUAAACUGUAAACUCACUUUCGAUUAUUUUUCAAAUCCAUGCUUUCUCCCACCAAUGCGAGAGUAGUAGACUUUCCUUAAGUGAACACACUUUCUUUUUAAGUGUGUAAACUCCCUUUCGAUCAUUUUCUAAAUCCAAAUUCAAGUAAGCGACGAUGAUUGCGCGAGGCACCUCCUGAUUCUUGUCUCACUAUUCACUUGAAGGAGUGUUUCUUAAUAAAAAUACAAUAAGUGAGUACUUUCUCCCAUCAAUGUGGGAGAAUUAGACUUUCCUUAAGUGAGUACACUUUUUUUAAAUGUAAAUUCACUCUCCAUUCAAAAAUUUCCUUCAUUUUUCAUUCACAUCAAUUGAACCCAACGUAUCCUUCACCCACAAAAUUUUAUCAAUACAAUUAAAUAAGAACCUUAUGAUCAAUACAUUAACUUUUUUAAAUUUGAUCAUAUAGAGUUGGCAACAAGAUUGAGACACUAAUUAUAAUAAUAAAUGAAUCAUAGUUGAGACAAGUAGUCAGCACAUUAGAUUGCUUAUAAUUUAGGAUUUGGCGAAUUCCGUGGCAUGCUUGCUAUCAUUUUGUUAGCGACGGAUAUUUUUAAGUUAAAAUUUUAAUGAUAAAAUAUAUUUUUAGCCAGAAAACUAACGAAUAGUAUUUUUAUUUUAUUUUGUAUAAUUCAGGGGUAUAUUUCGUAUCAUCCUUAGAUGAAACAGAAGCAUUUUAAAAAUUUCAUAUUACCGUAAUAAUCAUUUAACAUUACUUUCUUCGUGUAUCUUUAUUUAUCUAUAUUGCCAAAAAAGAGAUAUCUAAUAAUAUUUAUUAGUUUGUAAAAUCAACGAAUAAUUUAUUUAUUUGUGUUUAUUUUACCCUUAGUUAUAAUUAUGAUCACUAUCGAAUACAUUUUAAUUAAAUUUAUUAAAUUAUCUAUGAUUUCAUAAGAAAUAUAUCAAAUUAAUAAUGAAUAAAUCUAUAUCUAUAUCUAUAAUCUAUAUUUAUAAUAUUUGAAAAGUGUGAAGGGCCUUAAAAAUGUUGUUUAAACUUUUUGCCUUUCAUUAAAAGUUCUUGCUUUAGACAAAAUUAUCUUUUCACUAUUUUUUUCUAAUAUUUAAGAGUUAAAAAUUAAUUAAAUAUAUUUAUGUUAAAACCUUUCCUUAUUAGAAGUCAUUAGAAUUUCAAUAUUUUUUCCUACUUUAAGAGUUGAACAUUAAUUAAAUAUAUUUAUGGUAAAACCUUUGUUAUUAGAAGUCGUCAAAAUUAAUGACAACUGAUACUUUUUCUAUUAGUUUAAAAAUUCUAAAUAACUAAAUUUGAUUUUAAGAAGAUUUGAAAAAUAUAGAAAUAAAUAUAAAACUAUUAAAUAAGAAUUCUAAAUCAAUUAAAUUUGAUUUUAAGAAGAUUUUAAAUAUAUAGAAAUAAAUAUAAAACUAUUAGAAUAAAAAACAUUUAAGAAGUACCAGAAUUUUAAAGUUUUAAGUACGUAAUAAGAAUGUAAUCAAUGAUUUUAUAAAAAUUUGAUUUUAAAAAUAAGAAAAGAUUUUAAAUCUAAAUAAAAUUGUAACACAAAUAUGGUUCAAAUUGACGUGUUUAGCAUGUGGCAACAAGGAAAAAAGGUACUAGACGAACACAAAAGUAAUGAUCCAUCAACCAUUUGAAACUUCUGGUGGUAAAAUACAUAUGUGUAUAUGAUUAUGUUUACACUAUUAUAUUUAAGUCUGAAAGAUUAUUGAAAAGUAAAUUGAACUUUUACAUUUUAUUAAAAAUCUUCUCAAUAAAUAAAAUUAUUUAAUUUUAAAUAAUUAAAUAAUCAAACGUUAUACGUGCGAGAUAUGUGCGGCUAAACCAGUAAAAUUAUAAACCAAUAGUAUUACCUAUAUAUAAGGCGCAAUGAAGCAGCUGAAGCAGGCUGCUUAUGGUCAACAUGCCUGCUUCAUCUGCUGCAAUUGUGAUUUUACUAUAUUAUCUUUAAAUAAUUAUUAUAAAUCAUUUACAUAUUAAAAUUGAAAAUAUUUGAUAGAAAAAUUAAAAUAGACAUUUAUGACAUGACUGCUUCAACCGUGAUUUUACUAUAUCACUUAUAAUUAAUUAUUUUAAGUCCUUUAAGUAUUAAAAAAUUAAUAAUAUUUAAUUAAAAAAUAGAGAUAAAAUGAUAAAUUAUUUUCUGAUGUUUAAAUUAACUUUACGUCUUAUAUGAGACCACUUAAAAAAAAAUCACAAGUAUUUUUUAUAAUAAUUUUACUAUAUCACUUCUAAGUAGUAGAAUAGAAGAAAAAUAUUAUAAAUCACAAUUUAAAAAAUUUAAAUAAUUUAAAAAAUAUAAUUAGCUAUCAAUGUCAUAAAAGUUUGAACAAUUUAAAAUAUUAUUAUAUAAAUUUCAUCAUCUAAAUAUAGUAAGAUAUGUCCAACUUAGAAUUUAUCGACCAAACAAAUGAAAGUUUUAAUUAAAUAAUAGAACUAUACAUAAAGUAGAAAUUUUAAGGACGCGUAGCACGGCGUAAACCGACUAGUAUAAUAUAAGUGGGGUGGGGUGUAGUUGUUGAACCACUCUAUUUUAAACUUUAUAUAAGAUCUACAUUCCAUAUGCAUACCACGUGUGGCAAGCCACAAUUUAUUUGUAAUUUUAUAUUCUUUUUAUGAGAUUUUUUUUUAUUAUAAUCUAUACAAAAGAUAUUUUUAUCUUUACACAUAAAUGUAUGAAGUAAGAAUUGAACUUGACACUUCAGCAAAUUAAAAACUGAAAUGUGGCAAGAAAAGUUGGUCAAAGUGGCUUAAUCAACAGGGAUGUCACCAUAUGUUAUCUCGAAAGUAAUCCAAUACUUAAAGGAUAUGGAGUCGAGCAGUGAUGGACAUAGAAUUUAAAAAUUAGUGGUGUUCAAAAAAUAUAUAUUAACGGUCAAAAUUUUAAGAUUUCACUUGCGAACUAAGCAUUCAGUUAUUUUCUACAUUCUACAUUCAUUGAAUGCUUUUCUAAACCUUACAUCAAAUUUUAUUUAUUUUUUAUAUAAUUAUAUCUAAUCUGCAUCGAAUUUAUCAAGUGCAAAAACACCAAAAAAUUGACUAUGAAAUUCAUCAAAACUCCUAUUUAGUUUAAGAGGGCACAAAUAGGAAUUAAGUUGGUCAAACACACAACUUUAUGCAAGAUGUUCAAAUCAUUAACCAUCAUAACAAGGGUGGAGCUAUACUUGAAAUAGGAGCUUAAUAAAAAAUAUAAUAUAUAUAUAUAAUGAAANNNNNNNNNNNNNNNNNNNNNNNNNNNNNNNNNNNNNNNNNNNNNNNNNNNNNNAUAUAUAGUGGAUGUCAAACCCCCUUCAAUUAAAUUACAUGUUCACUUAUGAAUUCUCUUAAUAAAAAUUCUAACUCCGCUACUAAAAGGCAUCCGAAAUUUCAUCAUAGCACUAGCAAUAUAAUCACGAGCCGUCACUAUUGCUUUAUAUUUGUCGAAGUUUUUUCUUCUUUUUUUUUAUAAUAUUUUUGUCAUGUUUAAUAUGUUAUACAUAUCUCUUAUUACAAAGUGAUAAUAUUUUUGAAAGCUUGAUGGUGAGCUUUUGGUGUGUUUGACUUAUUAUAAUAUUGGUUAAAGAUAAGACGGUGAUUCAAAUUUCAUCGCAUUAAAAAGAUAAGAUAUCAGUUAAAGUUUUGAUGCACUAUGAUGAAAUAUUGAAUUUAAGUUCCAUCGAUUUAUUACUAAGACGUUUUUGAAUGGAUAAGACAGUGAAUUUGAAUCUUAAUGCACCAUAUUGAUGUAUAAUGAUGGUUAAGGUAACCAAUAUGUUUUUGGUAAAAGACAUGAAACCUGUCUCAUUAAAUAUGCUCUAUUCCAUAAAGUGGAUGUUAUAUGCUCCAUUCCAUGAAGUGAAUGUGUAGCAAUAUAUGAUAUACUCUAAAAGGUAUAUGCCUCGAUGUGCUCCUGACGUAGCAAUAUCAUGAAAAAGGUUAUAAGCUAUCAAAAUUUGAUAGACUUAAGGUACGAGUACAUCUAUUCCCGGGAAUGAGGAUUUCGAUUAUUUUAAGUACAUAUUUAUUCCCUAAGGUGAAUGUGAUUAAUACAAACAUGCACUUGAUUGUGAUGGUAUUACAACUCACCUCCGAAAAAGGUAGAAUAACUGAGAAGAGUUAUUUUAAAAUCUACUUCUGAAGUUGUAAAUUUGAAAUUUAUUCAUGUAACAGUAAAUCUGAAAUUUACUAAAGUAAAGGGUACAUGUCAUGGUAAAUUUGGGGUUUGCUAGAAUAAAAGUUCAUAAAUUGACAUGAACGAAUGCGACAUUCCAAAGAUGUGCAUAGUGAAUAUUGUAUAUUGAAGAACUAGAAAAUUCUUCAUGAACUAUUAAUUUUGCUUGUUCUCAUGAUAAGUUGGUUGGACCAACUAAUGUUGGGAUUUGAUCACUCCAAAUACGAAAAAUAUAAAAGGUGAAUAUAGGCGCAUUCACCAGUCAUGUGAUAUAAAAAGAUGCAUCGAUAUUAGAUGAUCACUUAUACAUUUAUUGUCAAUUUACAGUUUGACAUUCAUAAAGUUGCUUGCUCAAUAAAAUUGAGUUAAGAGCAUAACUUUCAGAUCGUGUAAUCAAGACAAUUCAUCUGAAUGAUGAAGGUUUGACAUUGAAUGCCUUCGAUAAAUAGAUAAAUCAUUAUUAAUGAGAACAAAGCUCCAUGUGCUGAUUUGAAACAUGAUAUAUUAUAUACAAAAAUACUUGUAUGCACCAAACCAAUAAAUUAUUAGCUCCCCUCAAAGUUGGUUUUGAGUCAGGAACCAAAUAUUGUCCAUCUAAUAAUUUUGACGUGCAGUAUAUGAUUAAUGAAUAUACCGUGAUGCACAAAGAUGGAUUCUCAAAGAGGAUGGUUAGUUUUCCUAACAUAAAGGGAAGAUUAUAAGCAACUGUGAAAUAUGUUAGGAAUCAUCAUCAUAUCCUCAAAACCUUAAAUUGUUCAAGAAAAAUAAAAAUUACUCUUUAUUUUCUCUAGUCUUCUUUUCUACCUUACUUUUCAUAACAUUUAAGAUCUUAUUAUUGUGUUUUAAAUUUUUGUUUCAAUUUAGUUGUCUCUUUUAUAAAAUAAAAGAAUAUUAUUAUAUUUUUUUCAAUAUUAUUCUUAUCAUUAAAUCACUAAAUAAAAUAUAUAUACUCAAAUUUAUAUUUUCAAAGAAUAAUUAAAAGGUCUAGUUUGAUAAAAUAAACUCCCUGUAAACUUUUUGUUAAGGAAAGUUACAAUUAAAUAAACACUAUUAUUUUGAAACGAAAGGUAAUAUAUUAUAUUUUUCAAUGUCGUUACAAACCAACUUCCUCAAAACUCAAAAGGCAAAUCGAUCUUAUAUUUCAAUUCAAGAUUGAAACGAAAUUUCAAACGAAUUAGAAGAAUUCUCUAAUUUCACGAUGACAGUUGGAUUAAAACCCAAAAUUCAAAAUAAUUAAGAGUUCUCUAAUUUCAUGGUGAGAAUAUUGAAAAUCAAAUUUCAAAACAAUUAAAGGAGCUCUUUAUUUUCGUAAAGCUUAAGUCAUCGAUAAGAUCCUAAACUUGUCUUGAAAUUGCACUUCAACCCCUCAACUCAGAGCUAUACCUAUCAGGCCCCCAACCUAUCCUAAAUUUGAUUUAUCUAAAAAAAUUUUGCCCACAUAGUACGUUACGUGAUAAUCACUCAAAAUGGGCGUGUGAGAGAUGAUUUUUUUGUCAAAUCACGAAUAAAAAGGCGAGAAAUGGCAUUGUGGACUCCAAAAAAUUAUAAGUACAAUAAUUUUUUUUUUUUUUUUAAAACAAGCUCAAUCUUCAUUUUCUUCCCCCACACCCAUCCAAUAUCUUCUUCUUCCACUGCUUGUUCUUCCUCUUUUUUUUUUUUUAAAACUUAAUUCUCCAUUCAUUUUUUUAAUUUUUUUCCUUUUUUGAAUCUUUUUUGUUCUUAAUUUUAAAUUUAUGUUUGGAUUUGAUUUAAAAUAUUUUUGUUCUUAAUUCUUUCCCGUCAUUUUUUUUUGCUACAUCCUUUUCCGGCCACCUCCAAACAAAUAUCGUCACUUUAAUUAAAAGGUAAAUCCAACAAGUUUAUCAAAAAAUUUAGGUGUAAAUAUAAAUAAUAAUAAUAAAAAAAAGCUUUGACGGAAAAAAUGAGAGUUUGCCGCAAAAAUAUAAAUUAAUUUUUUUUUUUAAGAAAUCAACAAAAUUAUAAAUUUGACUCAAAAAUAAAAAUUAAAAUGCUAUUUUCAUAAAUCAACAAGUUAUUUCAUCUUCCUCAAUCUAUUUUCAGUUUUCUCCAUCUCAUUAGUCAUUGUAGAAGAGGAAGAAUUUUGCCGGAAAAAUGAAGCUAUGACGAAAUUUUUUAAGUACAAGCUGAAGAAGAGGAGGGUGGGGGUGGGGGGCAGGGGUAUUUAGUUUUUCUUUUUCAAGAAAAGUUAAAAUUAUUUUUAAAUUAUAAUUUAAUUAGUUAUGAAAUAUUUUUUAAUUACUUUUGGAUUCAAUGCCAAAUGUCACCAUUUAAUUCGUUAUUUUUGUCGCAUCAUCGCAUGUGUGUUGCACACACUUUAUACUUUUAGUUGAUUGAUAAAAAAAUGUUCAAAUGGUUCAAAUUUCGAGUGGGUUAGGCUCCUAAUAGGUACAGGCUGAGUUGAGAGGUUUAAGUGAAAUUUUGAAACACGUUUAGGGUCCUAUCUAUUGACAAAAGAGGGCUGCUUUAAUAUUUUAAUUUCGAGUUAUCAAAAAAGCAUAAAGAACAAAAAAUAUUUUUUUUGUCAUAUUUUGACUUGGCACAUUCAUAAAAAAACACAAUUAAAAAAUACUUUUAUUUGUCAUAUUUUGACUUGGCACAUUCCUAAAAAAACAUAAUUAAUAACAUAGUUAUUUUACUAAAGUACCCCUAUUAAAUGAUGUUUAUAUUGUGUCUUAAAAUUACUUGUAAAAAACAAUUAAUGCUAUGGAUAAAAUAAAAAAGAAGAAGUUGUCUUUUCUUGAUAUGUCAAAAAUUACAAGUAAAAAUAGAAAUAUAAUUAAAAAAUUAGUGACAAGUAAAAGCGAACGGAGGAGUAUUUUGAAUACUCCAUCCAUUUCGUAUUAAUUGACCCCUAUGGACUUGGACACCCAUUAAGAAAUCAAUAAAUAGAGAUGCAUUUUAUAUAUUUAUCCUUGCACACCUUUUAAAGUGCAAUAAUUAUUACCAUGAUUAAAUAUUUAAAUUUGAUAAAUAUUAUUUUAUUGUAUGCAUUAUAUCUAGAAUAUUGAGUAUUUAUAAUUGAAAUUAGUAAUAAUCAUUUAAUUUUGAUUUCAAGAAUUAAGAUCAUUUAUAUGCAUCAUUCAAUAAUUUGAAAAAUUGUGGAUGUAUUUAAUAUUUCUAUCAAGAGUAAAAUAGAAUACACAUAUACUUUAAUUUUAAAAUUUGAAUAACUAAAUUAAAAUAAAUAUUUUUUUAAAAAAGACUAACUAAUACAAAAAGAAAAUGAGUAAUACUUAGAUACUUAUGGUUGGUUGUGUUAUCUUCUCAUUCAUAUAUUGCAAUGACCCUCCCGGUCAUCAUUACUUUAGUUAGAAUUAGGGUUAAAAUAAGAAAUAAAUUGAUGUCUUUAGACUCGUAUUUUUAUGGGAAUAAUAUUUUUAACAGAUUUUUACCAUUCGGAAGUUUUGAUGAAGGGUAAAAAGCUUGUGGACUAGCUGCUUUCGAAAUUAUUGGUUAAGGUAGGUUACGAUUUAAUUGGAGUUUAGACUCGACUUAAUUGUGUGUAUGCUCCUAAAUUGGAUGCUUGUGGAUUGACAUUCGGACAUGCUUGAAAUUGUUGAUGUUUGGAUUAUUGAUUCGUGUAUAAAUGUUUAUUGAAAAUUAAUUUGAUGAAAUUGUCUUAUGACUUUAAGUGUUGCCUGUGAGGUUGUGUAAAUUGAUAUUGAUAAUACUGGUUUAUAUUUGAACUCCGAGUCAAUCAUGUUGCACUGGUCAAGACAUUGUCUCAGGUUGUUGGCCCCAUUAUAGUUAAUAGGGGCUCCACCCAGCUUGUUUUUUGCUUCGAGGACUUCAUUAAAGUCUCCCCCUAUAAACUAUUCCCCCUUGUAAUUUUGGGCUAUGUUACAGAGGUCUCCCCACAUGCCAGUGCACGUGUUAUAGUCAGGGCUAACAUAAAUAGCUAAAAAAAGCCAAGGAGGGUGGUCAGGUCGUACCUUGAUCAUGAAAUGAAUGCCUUGUGGAGAGGCGAUGAAGUUGUCCAGGUGGAGGAGGUGAUGCCGCCAGAGAACCCUAUUGCACUCGAUUGAAUGUGAAGAUCAAACCUAGAGCAUCAUAAAGAAGAGUCUUAUGCUUCUUAAUUUUAAUUUUGAGUAGAACUACCAUCGCCAACUUGUAGAUGUUAAUCAUGGCCUGACACUGCCAGCGGAAGUUAGUACUGUUCCAUAUUAUGAACUUCAACAUCUCCGACAUAUUUGUUUGUUGGUUCAUUGGCCUUUUCCCCUUCCCAUGGGAGAGGAGAGAUCCAUCACUAAUACUUGCGGGCUGAGUAUCACUAUCGUCAGAGCAGCAUCUAUCGCAAUCUUCACUAUCAGAGAGAAGUCGAUGAGUAUGUGAUAAUAGUUGAGCUGAAGGGCUCUUCGAAGCUUUUGUGAAGAGUCCUUUCUAGCAAAAAUGGCUCUUGGCUCGACUCUCCAAGGGUGCAUAUGAAGGCAAAAAAGAUUGGCAUGCUUUGAAAGGUUUGACUCAUUAAUGCACUGAGAUCCUCCAUUGAUCUCUUGAGAUACUUGGGCUGACAGUUGCCCACUGUUAGUCAGAGUUGAAUCCAUUUUUCCCCUAGCGUCUUCUCCAUCCAUGAAGUGGGACUCCUUUGGGAUGGUGACAAAAUAGAGGGGUUCCAAUGGUGGUUGAUUGGUCGAAGCAUUCUGUAGGUUUUCCAUUGUUGGUAGAUUGGACAACAUUGCAAAGUUUUCCGGCCAUGGAUGGGAUUCUUCUUGAUUUUGACUCCUUGAGUCAUUUCAGUAGUUGCAGAGUGAUGAUUAUUUUUUGGUGAGGAGGAGUUAAUCAAUUUCGGAGAAAUUUGCAUGGAGUCCUCCAUAGAUACCUCAGAGAGGGGAUGAGGGUGAGUACGAGUCUCCUUUGACCCGCUAAAGCUAAUGGAUUUAUUAAUGGGGGUAUUUAAUGGAAAUAACUUUUUACCCUGCUUUAUCGGUAGCCUUCUUCAUAUUGAUAUUUAUUACUUUUUUUCAUUUCAUAAUAAAUUAAUUGUUGGAUUUUUACUUAAACAUUAGUGAUUCCAUAACUCUUGUAGUUUGCUCUUGAGGUAUGGAUGAGCUAGUUUCUUUCCAAAUAGUUUGCUUUCGGUUCAUCUUUACUUCUCCAUCUACUAUACUAAAUUGACUACAUGUUUCAUUAUACUAAUUUUAUAUUUUUACUAAUCAUUAAAUUUUGCUUUUGGUUCAUCUUUACUUCUCCAUCUACUAUACUGGAAUUGACUAUAUAUUUCAUUCUACUAGUUGUCUAUUUUAACAAACCAUCAAAGUUUGCUUUCGGUUCAUCUUUACUUCUCCAUCUACUAUACUAAAAUUGACUAUAUGUUUCAUUGUACCAAUUGUCUAUUUUUACAACUCAAAAGACUAAAUAUAUUUUUUUUCAUUAUAACUUAGUAUUGAAUAACCUCAUAAGGUGAUAGUAGUCAAAUUUAACAUAAGUUUAGUAAAAUUUACUUCAAAUUAAAAUUUUCUUAAAAGAUACGUAAAAUUUACACUCCACAUGAGCUAAGUAAUAUAAGAUAAAAAACGAUUCAUUAAAAUAAUAUAAUAUAAUACAAUACAAUAGGAUGCGAUAUAUUGUGAAACAAAUCAAACAAUACAAAACAACCAUCUAUACAAAGUGCAAUACAACAAAAGCAGCAAACCUCCCACCCCCAACCAACAAAACACACACACACACAAAGCAAUCACUUAGAAGUAAUAUAUCUAAGUUUUGGAACCGUUGUUUGCUUAAUUAAACACCAACACAAUUAUGAUCAUGAUUCAUGACAGAAUCAACAAACAACAUGGAGAUGACGUCUUUAAGGUUGUAUUUGGAAUUUGUAAAAUCAUCCCCUUGGAGAAUUUCUACUAGACGUGCAAGAUUUACUGCAGGUUCUAGGACAAUUGUUGGUACUUGAGUUGCACGUAAAUAUUCCGUGUUUAUGUCUUUCCAUGCAUUUGCUAUUUCUUUCCAUAUCUCAGCAUAUGCAUCUUGUUUCGAAGCUCCAUAUUCUUUCAUGUAGCAUUCGACGAAUGAAGCUCCAUGUUCUCUUUGUUGUUCGUGCUGCAUCAAGUGUAUAGAUUUCAGUAUUGACGUCCAAUAGUACUAUACGUUCAAAAGUUAUUGGUCAAAAACACAUAUAGGCUAUCAUUUUCUUGAGGCUUGUUAUUCAGGAACUUGUUCAGAAAUACCUUAGUGAAAGGAACAUAGGAGUUUGUCGCUAGGUAUUUGACCUAUACCUAUGAGAUGGGAAAUGAAAACUGAAUUUCAUACAUCAACUGCCCGUUAUUCCUUUUACCUAUGUAAACUAUCACUUUCUUUGUAUUAUAACACACCUAGAUGUUGAGUUUGUCAAACUAUUGUUCUCACUAGACCACAAGCGCUUGUAGGCCUAUUAAGCAUUCGCGUGUGUUUUAAUAUAAAGAGAGUGAUAUAAUUCGGGAAAUGAUCGAUCAUAUGAUAUAUAGUUCAGAUGUGCCAUAUCAACAUAUAUACUUACUUCAUGUCCAAUAAUAUCGUCCUUUAAUCUGUUGAUUAGUGAUGAAGCUGGAAGGACCAAAGAGUCAUUUAAGAUCCAUUGGAAAGUCUCUUUGGCUACAAAUUCCUCCAUAACAAUCAAACAAGUAACCACAAGCAUUGGAAUGGCAAUUGUUAAAGUUGCAUUUCUCUUAUAUUCCUCACAUUUUGGAAUUUUGCCACCAUUCAACCAUUCCACUUCCUUAAGAUAGCUUUUCGUCCACCUAUUCGUCUAAAACGUAGAAUUUCAAUUCCAAGUAGUAUAUACUUUUAAAAUCGAUGAUAUAUUUAAUAUAAUCGGUUAAAUAGAACGAGUUAGAGCCCGUUUGAAUAGGAUUAAAGAAAAAUAGUUUUUUAGUUUAAGUGAUUAAAAGCUGAAAAUAAGUGCUUAUAAAUUAAGCACAUAAGUGUUUCGAUAGAAGUGCUAAAACUGAAAAAAAGUUGUUGAUGUAUUUGGUAAACAAGUGAUGUUAAAUACAUUUUUUGCUAUUAAAAUGACUUAAAUAUCCUUAAAGUUGUUAACACCAUAAUUAAGGUGAAAUUUUAAUAAUUUUUAAUUCUAAAAUAAAAUUUUUGAAUAAAUCUUCGGUGUAAUGAUGGAUUCGAUUGAAACAAAGAAGAAAAAUUAAGAGGAAAUUGGAGGGAAGAGAUGAAGCGAAGCGGCAAAGAGAAAAAGAAAAAAAAAACUAUAUAUUUAAGGGCUACAAGUUUUGAAUAUUGUUGGAAUUGGAAGAAAAUAUAAGGGAUAAAAAGGUAAAUAUUUUGAUCAAACCUAAAAGAAUUUUAAUCUAAAAAGCAAAAAGCUGGGUUUUUAUUCGUUUAAUCGGUUUUUAGCUUUUUUUAAACACUUUUUAAUUUUACCAAACACCUUAAAAAACCAUAAAAGAGAUUAAAAGUUGAUUUGACUAGAUUUUAAUCCUAUCCAAACGGACUCUAUAGCAAGCUUAAUUACCUCAAUUUUUGCACAGUAGACAUAGUCUAAUUUGCCAUUUAUGGUUGAUUCUUCUUCCAUUUCAUCAAAGUAAUCUAAAAAGACUUGAUAAAGAGGUCUCAUGUAGGAUGAUAUCGAAUCCAUAGCACCAAUGUCACAUCUGCAUAUGCAUAAAUAACAUUUAUAUUUAUUAUUCAACAAUGUAGCACGAUAAAAUUACAAAGAACUGAUAAUUAAGUUUGAGAUAAGCAUUCAAUACCCCUCGAAGUCGAACUAUGGUCAAAGUUGUGACGAGACACUCCAACUUCACAUGGAUCCUAUUACCUCCCUGAACUCAAUUUUAGUGUUUUUUUGUCACCCUUUUGUGCUGACGUGGCACUUUUAUUACAUAAAAUAGGGCCCAAAUCAAAGGUGUCAUGUUAGCUUAAAAGGUGAAAAAAGUACGCUAAAAUUUAGUUCGAGGGUAAUAGGACUCCCGUGAAGUUAGAAUGUAUCGUAGCAAAUCUAGUCAUAGUUUAGGAGGGUACUAGAUGCUUUACCCAUUAAGUUUUGUAGUUAUUCACCUUUCGACUGCAUCUGUGAAAGGCACAAGUUCAUCAUAAGUUGCAUAAGCAUCAUAGAGGUCAUCGGUGACAGUGAUAAUAGCGACUAAUUUUGUUAACGUUCUUCUUGCACGUCUAUACUGAGGCUCGUAAUACACCCCUAUUGCCCAAUAGUAACACUCCACCAAUUUGUCUCUUGCAUAUGGAAAAUUGUUUACGGGAUCCAAAUCAUUCCACCACCUACAUAUGUAUAUUAUAUGUAUACAAUGGUUAGUUACAUUCUAAUGUAUCACAUGAAGCAUGUAUAUUCGCGCGAUUAAUUAAAGAAGAUACAAUAUGUAUAUACCUUGUAAGUUCGCUAAGCUCUCUUUGAUGCACCUUUUGCAAAAUGUGGAAAUCCAAUUUUGCAAAUUUCAAAAGCAAACCAUCAUGUGAUUCGAUGUUUUCGUAUAUAGGCAUGUAUUUUCUUGCUGCCACUCUUGGUACAUUUGUAUGAAUGGGCCGGAUCAAGGCUUCACUAACUUGGGCCUUGAGUGAGUUGUCCAAUUUAGGGCCCAUGGACUCGAGAUGAGUGGUGGUAAAAGUUAGAGCUUCUUCAAGAAUGUCUUCAUGGUGUACUCUUACAUGUGCUGCUUCGUAUAAACUUAAUAAUCCUAACACAUCUUUAGUAAGAGUUUCCUUGAACUUGCCAUCAUUGUUAGUGAAUUUCUUGAACACAUCUGAUUCAUUAUUAUCAUGAUGAGAUAGAAAACGAUUUAAAAAAAAUAAUAAUAACAUAUAGAGACCAAAUAAAAUGACGCACAUAUACGCAUUAUAUUAAAAUUAGGGCAAACAACAUAAAUUCUGAUAGUUUAGAGCUUAAUUAUAGAAAAUGCCAACAUUUUGCAUAAUUACUGAGAUUUUGAUUUUGGGUCUAUUGAGAUACAUCCAACGAAGAUAUAUUGUUUCCUUUGUAAAGAUACAUAAUUAACUUCCAAUAUAUUUUUUCCGUUUUUGGGUCUGUCGAGAUGCAUGAUAUCUCCAACAAAGAUACAUUUUUCCUUGUAAAAGAUACUCCCUUUGUUUCAAAAAGAAUGACCUACUUUGACUUGGUACAAAGUUUAAGAAAAUAAAAAAAAACUUUUGAAUCUUGUGGCCUUAAAUUAAAGUUGUGUCAAAUGUACCAAAAUACCCUUUAAUCUUGUGGUCCGAAAUAUGCCAUGUGGAANNNNNNNNNNNNNCUUUUUGAAUGGAGGGAGUACAUAAUUAGCUCCCGAUAUAAUUUUUAGAUUUUGGGUCUAUCGAGAUACAUAAUUAGUUCCUUGAUACAUCCAAUAAAGAUACAUAAUUAGUUGAAAGUUUUGUAAUUACUUUGUAAGGGUGGAAGUUAAAGGGCAUAUUGAUGUUAUUUUAGCUAAUAAUAAUCCUAUCUUUUAAUUCUUGAUAAUUUGACAUGCAUGAUAGAGAUUUAAAAGAUGCUUGAUUUCACCUUGGAAGUUUUGGCUUGACGAAUAUAGUAAAUUAUAUGGCUCUAGAAAAAAAGCCAUAUACGUUUAAAGUUUACCCAAAUAAUAUUGAAACAAUUAAAAAAAAAAAAAAGGAAGUAGUAGUUGACAUUAAUUAAUAAAGCUGCAUAUAUAGAAUAAUAGAGAAGUGAUGCGUUACCAGGAGACAUGUAAUGCCUUUGCUGUCUCACUAGUCGAAAACGAAGAGCAACAACGUAAAGAUCGUCGAAAUCAUCUUCAUUUUUACUCUGAUCGGACUCAUCAAAAAUAUUCUGAAUAGAUAUUUUAAUCUCAUUUUCGAAAUGAUAUCCCACUCCCAAUCGUUGGAUUGUAUCAAUUAAGACAAGUUUUUGUAUACUAUUAUCAGGAGUUUCCACUAACAUUUGCCUCACUUUUUCUUUCAACUCUUCAUGUUCAAGUUUUUCUUGGCUACUAAUUUCCUGCACCAAUAAUUAAUCAUAAGAAUUAUUGUGCUAGGUAGUGUCUAGGGAGGAUAGAGUAUGUAUACGGAAAUUUGGAAAAGAACAAAAUACAAAAGUAAAUAAGGAUAGAGCCAAUAAUAGGGAAAAUAUUACGUUGCAUUCAAAAAAAUAAUCAAGGAACAAUAACAAUACCAAAAUUAUACGAUAAUAAUGCAAUAAUCAAAGCACACACGAAACAAUCCGAGGUAACAAUAAUCGUAGGACAAGAAACUAUAAGAGAAUAGUGUUUCGUACUACUACUUAUAUGAACAAAGAAACAAAUACGAUACACCAAACUAUCACCAAACCUAUCCCACAACCGAAGCACACAAGAAACAAAACAAUCCGAGGUAACAAAAAUCGUAGGACAAGAAACUAUACAAGAAUAAUGUUACGUACUACUAUUGAUAUGAACAAAGAAACAAAUACGAUAUACCAAACUAUCACCAAACCUAUCCCACAACCGAAGCAGAAGAAACAAUCUGAGGUAACAAAAAUCAUAGGACAAGAAUUAAAAUCUACGAGAGUAAUUAAUGUUACGUACUACUAUUGAUAUGAACAAAGAAACAUAUAUGAUGUAUACCAAACUAUCACCAAACCUAUCUCACAGAAAAACGAGACGUAUAUGAGUGUAUGGGUACAGAAACAUACUGUGAGUUGAGGAGUGUAGGAGAGAAAAUAGUCUCCCCAAACACUUUUGUGAUAAUUUACCAAUGGACGUUUAAUAGUAGUGUUAACCAUUGCUAAUUGACUCAUACUUUUCUUUCUCUCACUCAAAAUGCUUUAAUUACUACAAUUUGUGUGUUUUGCCUCUACAUAUGUUGAGGUAUUUAUAGUCAACUUGGGAAGACAAGUUGUCAAGUGACUUCAAAAUUCAAAUUAUAUGUCUUGAUUUAAGUAAAAAAUGGAUCUUUGGCCUAACGUAAUUUCAAAAAUUAGCUCACACUAGAAGGUUGUCCAAUGUCAUAUAAAGAGACCAUUUUUUUCUCCAUUCCACCGAUGAGUUAAAAAAAAAAUACUCUUUGUUUAGCAUUUUUUUAGUUUCAGCUUUCCACAAGAUAUGUUUAAGAUCAGAAAGAUUAAAGAGUAUUUUGGUACAUUUAAUAUAUAUAUCUUUAAUCUAAUACCAGAAGAUUCAAAAGUAUUUAUUUGCCUUUUUAAACUCGGUAUCCAAAAACAAAUUAAAAUAAAGGCCAAACCCAUCGGUGACCCUCUAAACUUGGCUCGAACUUUCAUUUAGGCACCUCAAGUGGACGUUAUUCACUUUUAACACCUCAAGUAGCCACAAAGUGUGUCACUUUGACACCUUUUGCUGAAUCAGCAAAGAGAGUGUGUUGCACUCGCUGCCAGGUGCAUUUUAGGGUAUAUAACAUAUAAAUGAACCAAUUAUAAAAGGACAUUUGGCAUUUUUAUAAAAUAAUUUUUAUAUAAUUAAUUUGAAUUAAANNNNNNNNNNNNNNNNNNNNNNNNNNNNNNNNNNNNNNNNNNNNNNNNNNNNNNNNNNNNNNNNNNNNNNNNNNNNNNNNNNNNNNNNNNNNNNNNNNNNNNNNNNNNNNNNNNNNNNUCCCCCACCCCCAUCUAUUAGUUUUUCUACCAUUUUUUUUCUUAAUAUAAUUGAUUUUUAAUAAUUUGGAAGAAUCCAAGUUGGUGCAGAUUAUAAAUUUCUUCUUCUUCUUCUUCUUCUUCUCUCUUUCAAUCAUUGAUUUUCCACCAUUUUUUUUAAUUUUCUUAACACGUUUGUAUCCCUUCAUUUUCUUGUCUGGUUUUCGAGAAAAUGGCAAAAAUGAUCCAUAUGUUGGAAUUUGAUGAGACUAUCACGGUGUUUUUGAGAAAGUGGCAAAAAUGAUUCAUAUGUUGAGAAAAUGAUAAAAAUUGUUUUCGUCGAUGGAACAACGGUGUAUGCUGUUGUUGGCUUGGUGAAUUUGUGUUUUAUGUUUUGAAUUUGUUGAGAAGUGAAUUUGUUGUUGGCAAAAAUUAUUGUUGAGAAGUGAAUUUGUCUUGGCGGAGGUGCGAUUGUUGGCUUGGUUGGCGGUUGGGGGGAAAGGAGAAGAUGACGUUGGGGUUUGGGAGUGAGGGUGGGGGUGGGGAAGGGCAAAUGGAGAAGAAUGACUUGGGGGGAGGGGACUGGGGGGAUGGGUGGUGGUGGAGAAGAUGACUUUGGAGUUUGGGGGUGGUGGGGUGGGGGUUGAGUUGAUAAUUUUAUAAUUAUUUUUUAAAGCGCCAUAUGUCAAUAAUUAAUUGGUUCCUUUAAUUUAAUUAUAUCUAUAUAUAUUAAUAAGUUGGAUAAUUAUUAAUAAUCAUGUAGUUUGGCCUUUUGCUUUUUAAAAAAAAAUUAAUUGUGAAUAUAAAUAAUGAUGUGGCAAUUUAAAUGAGUCGGCACAAAUCAAUUGGUCAUUUGUUUGAGGUGCCUAAGUGGAAGUUUGUGUUAAAUUUAGGGAGCCACCGAUGAAUUUGACCUAAAAUAAAUAAUAUAUCUUGAUCAUGUCAAUAAACCAGAUGGUCGAACGGUAUAUUAACGUCAAUUUUCAAUAAUUAAAGGUCAAUGCAGACAUAUUUGAGCAGAAAAAGAAUGCUGCAGUAAUGCAUGCAAGGGAGUGUGAAAUAUAAUACAUAAAUGAAAAGAAUCCAUGAAAAGGCCCACACUUGUCCAGAAAUGGCAGUAGAGCCCAUGUAGUUUGUAGUUGCAAAUGGACAAGUAACAUGACCACUAACCCAACAGAAUUCGACAAGAUAGGACAGGGCAGCUCAAGGGUGAAGCUGCCACUUUAGACUCAUAAUAAUAAUAAUUUUCCUAAUGUGUAACUAUGUAUUGUUAUUAUAUUGAGCUAGAAACAAAGGCUUCUUCCACCACGAAUUAAAAGGAAAUUUGUAUUAUAAAGCAUGAUUUUAAUCUACUUGGAAAACGGGAAACAGUCAUUGAAACACUGGGGCGGACCAAUUAUCCAUCUAAUUCUACACCUUUGCGCUAUUAUUGGCCUUCAGGAUUUCUCAAUUAUUACUUCAUAGCCUUCCAAUUUUUUUAUUAUUUUUUUUUUGGGGGGCUGGAAAAUUACAUUGUAUAGAUAGGUUAAGUUUUGGUUUUAUAAGAAUACAUGUAUCAGUGUUGACACUUCUAGACGCAAGUGGAAUGUUUAGUCCGUUGAGGGGCUGCAAAAGGUUCAAUUCAUCAUGAUAUACUUUGUGUUCCAAUGUAAUGGUAGAUAUAAGCUUCCAAUUAGAUCAUGAAAUAUUAUGUAUAAUACAUGUAUGUCAUUAUUUCUAUGUUCUGGAAUCUUAUUAUUAGAGUACGCGUCCUACUAAUUGCCUAUCUGUGUAACAAGUAAGUAAACGUGGUUCACAGAAAUAAAACUGAAUACAGUGUUUUUAUGUGGAAAACACCCGGCUCAAGAAAGGUGUAAAAAACCACGACUUGUACUUCUACAGAAUUUAAUCCAACUUCACUAAAAUACUUGAGCCUCAACAAUCAACAAAAUUACAAGACUUCUUGUAACCUAGGAAUUAAAACUUCUAACUCCUAUCACUACAAAAAUACUAAUCUUCUCAAGAUAAGCGUUCCCAAGUCUUCGAGUUCCCAAACUUGAAGACAACAACUCCUAACUCAGUUUAUAGAUUACUGAGACUAGAAUCAAUAACUCAUUACAAUACAAGAACCUAACUACUACACAGUUUAUGACCUGCUAAGUAAGAGACUAGGUUCUUCUUCAAGUAUGUGAACUGAUAUGCUGAUUGUUGAUUCAUUUUUCAGUGCAUGCAUGAGUCACUUGCUUUGUGUCACGUUUGUUGUAUUUAAGCCAACCUAUGAUAGAGUCUUUUUUCGUGUUCAAUUGUUUCUUCAGUAGAACUCUAUCAGUUAACUCUUUUCCUUUUGCUGCCACCUCACCUGUCCUAGAUUUGAUAGGACUCUUUUACUUCAAAUCCUCUUCUUGCUGAACUACUUGAUCAACUUGACUUCUUCAAGACUCCUUGUUUGACUCAGCUUCCGAUGUGAUUUAUGUUGCCUAUGCUUGUCUUGUACGCAGAAUCAUAUCAUUCAGACUCCUCUGCCAGCUAAACUAUUUCACUUGAAUGGACCAACUUCUUCAACUUGUUUCAUUCACAUGUCUAUCAUCAAAACUCCUCAUGCCUUAACAAAUUUCCCCUUUUUGAUGAUGACAAACAUAGCAGCAACAACAUCAUAGAAUGAAACAGGUUAGUCCAAUUGGGUUAUAAGCAUUGCAUAGUCUACUCUCUUCCCCCUUUUGACAUCAUCGAAAAGUUGAAACAACAAGUGAAAAACGUUUAAUAAUCCAUGGCCAUUGAGGCUAUCACUAAGACAAUCAAAAUUCAGAAUAAGAUAACAUGAAUGCAAUAUGAUAAAACAAGAGCAAAAAAUAGGAUAACAACUAAGCCCAUUUCAUUUAUUUAAACAGAAGACUACAUAUACCAAAAAGUAAACUGAGAGAGAACAAGUUGUUAGGGUGAGAAACAAAAGGAGAUAGGCUGAGGAGAUCAGUCAUGAGGCUAAGUAGAAGAAGAGGAGGGAAUGAGAAAGGUGAGUUUCCUAAUAACAGCUAUAUUUUCAUCUCUCUCUUUUUCCAAAAAGGAAUUAAGGGAGGCAAUUUGAGCAUGAAGGAUCCCUUUUUCUUCUUCAUGAGCAGCAUAUGCAGCGUCCACCUCAGCUUGUUUUUCAUCUAGGGAAUUUCUCAACUUCUGCAUCGGAUUAUCAGUACUCCUCAAAGAAACAGGUAGCAUCAUGUGGUUCACAUGUCCUAUGAUAUCCUUGGUGGUCUGUAAGGACCACACUUGAACAGAAACACCAAAGUCCUCAAAUAUGGGGGUGAGCCAGAAUUGAUAAGGUAGAGCAUGUCCACUGACUUACUUGAGUAAAAACCUCCGUAUAUGCUUUAGUAUGAGGCGAGGCAGAUCAAUUCGUACUUCAGUGUCCAACAAUUCCAUGAGAGUGAGAUCAAGAAAGCUAGCUAUAGUCCUCCUUUCCUUUCUAGGAAGAAUCAUCUUAUGCACAACAUCAAAGUACAGUUGGUGAAGAGAAGAUAUCUCCCUUUUAAACACUCUUCUAUGUCUGACCAAUUGGGGAUUCCCUGAGAACUUUAUACGUAUGUCAAGGGCUGAAACCAGAUUGUCAAGAGGUGGCCAGCUUCCUUUGACAUAUUGACCCUAACCCCCAGAAGGAAUAUGUAGAAUUCUAGCAAUAUCAGCAAUGUAAAGGUUUAGAGUAACCUUUCUAACUGUAGUAGAUAACAACUCACUAAUGCCCACCCCAUUUGCAUAGAACUCAUACGCUUCAGGUCGAGCAAAUUUUCUCUGAAGGUCUCCCUGUAGAAAGAGAUGAGACCAUCCUUGAAACUUCAAUUUUUUCAAUAAAGUCUGCAUAAUUACAUCCCCAAAUCCACUAACUACUCUUCCUCUAGCUAAUUUACGAUUUUGAAAGUGAAGGCGAGAAUCCUCAAGAGUAUCUUGAUGAAAGGAUGGUGCAGAAACCUCAAAAUCAGUAUUUAUCUCAGCGUUGGUGUCCAGAUUGAAGUCAGAGUCAGAUGAGUCAGAAGAACAGUGGAAGAGGGUUUUGAAGUAGGUGUAGAGGAAUUUUUCAUAGAGGAUAUGGAAGCUUUUGCUUUAAUAGUAGUAGGUUUCUUGACUGAUCGAAGAAAAAGAUCAAGAGAAGAAGUAGGAGAAGAGAUCGGAGGAGGAGUGGGAUCAAAAAUCACUACACGUUUCCUCUUAUUGGCUCGAAGAGUUUCAGCUAAUUUAUCAUCUUCACAUUGUUUUUUUCCUCGAGUAUGUGGGGUUCGAGGAGUAGAGGUAAUUGGAGGGGGCUGUGAGGAAAAAGUGUCUUUGGCUGGGACAGAGGGUUUUUUCUUGACCUGAGAUCUGGACCUUCUUGAAAUUAGGUCUGCAAUAGGAAGAUCAUCCCUAUCAUCUAAAAGAUCAUCCUCAUGAACAAUUCAGAGUGGAAUUGGAGGAAGAAGAAGUUAUCUCGAGAUGGAUGAAGUAGUUGAGGGAAUUUGGGUAAAAGGAUUAGGGAAAUUUGUAAAGGUGGAGAAAUCUGUGAAUUUCUGGGAGAUUGGAGAAGAAAUUAAGAGAGGUAAGGUAAUGUUUGGAUGAAGGAUGAGUGCAGUGAGGAGAUUUUAAAUAGAGGCAGUAGAGAACGAAGAAGGGGAUGAAGAUGAGGAGUUGGAUGCUAUUGUUAAAACAGGAAUGUGUUCUUAAGUGUGAGAGGGUUUAAGAGAAUUUUUAGUGUAGAAGCAAAACAAAGGAAGGCGUAUUUAAGAGAAGAAGAUGAGGAAGGUGAAAGGGUGAGGGACUGUAUGUGGCAGAGGGAUAAUGAUAAGUGUUUCAGUUAUGAUGGGAAAGGGAGUGGCAGCUUUUUUAAAAAGGAGGGACUCUUUGUAUUUUGGCGGUUAAAAUGGAUUAAGAGGAACCAGGAAAACAACUUGUUUCUCUUUAGAUUACUUUAAAGUAAUAGUAAUCGUACCUGAAUGAUAAAAUAAACAAAAUUGCUUUUGUAAUUCAAGCUUCCUGCAAAAUCAACACAUACAUGAGUCAACAUAUUUCAAAAUCUUGGACUUAGGAUACACAACUUAAUGUGUGAGACUGAAUUAACCAACAAUCACAUGUAACGUCAACUUAUUCUAGUCAAGCAUUGAGGGACACUUAUGCAAUUUUACUCAUCCCCAAGGCUAACCUAAUUUUUUCAAAGUGUUCUCUACUCAAUGCCUUAGUGAAAAUGUUAGCAAUCUGUUCCUCAGUAGAGCAAAACAUAAUGGAUAUAUGCCCUUUUUCAACAUUAUCUCUAAGAAAGUGAUGCCUAAUAGCAAUAUGUUUGGUUCUCUUGUGUUGAACAGGACUUUUAGCUAUGUUAGUAGCAAUCGUAUUAUCACAAAAAAUAGGAACACAACCAACAUCUAUACCAAAAUCCAUGAGUUGUUGCUUAAUCCAUAGCAUUUGAGCACAACAGGAACCUGCAGCAAUAUAUUCAGCUUUAGCAGUAGAUAAGGCAAUGGAGUUUUGCUUCUUAGUGGAUCAGGUAAUCAAACAUGAUCCAAGAAAGUGAGUUAUUCUAGUAGUGCAUUUCCUGUCUACCAGAUAUCUUGCAUAAUCAGCAUCUGAGUAACCUACCAAAUUAAAGUUACUACCUUUUGGGUACCAUAAGCCAAGAUCACUGGUUUCUUUCAAGUAUCUGAAGAUUCUCUUUACAGAUUUUAGAUGUGAUUCUUUGGGUUUAUCUUGAAACCUGACACAUAGCCCUACACUGAACACAAUGUCAGGCUUGCUUGCUGUGAGGUACAAUAAUAACCUUAUUAUACCUCUAUACAUCUUUUGCUCUACAUCUGAACCUGUUUCAUCCAAGUCCAGCUUUGUGGCAGUAGCAAUAGGAGUACUUAUUUCUUUUGCCUCUUUCAUGGAGAAUCUCUUGAGAAGCUCUUUGACAUACUUCUGUUGGUGAAUCAUUUUUUCUGAAGCUGACUGCUUUAUUUGUAAGCCCAAAGAAAAAUUCAGCUCUCCCAUCAUGCUCAUCUCAAAUUCACAACUCAUGAGUUUACCAAACUCAUGAGUCAUAAGCAUAUUUGUUGAGCCAAAAAUAAUAUCAUCCACAUACACCUGCACAACUAACAAAUCCUUCCCAUUAGUUUUCAAGAAAAGAGUAUUGUCAUUUUACCUCUGGUAUGUCCAUGUUCCAAUAAAAAUUUUGACAGUCUUUCAUACCAAGCUCUUGGAGCUUGUUUCAACCCAUACAAAGCUUUGUCCAGCUUGUAGACAUAGUCUGGAAAUUCCUUGAUUUCAAAUCCUGGGGGUUGCUUAACAUACACUUCUUCCUUGAGAAUGUCAUUCAGAAAUGCACUCUUUGCAUCCAUCUGAUACAAAAUAAACUCCAUGUAAGAAGCAAAAGCAACAAGUAGUAUUAUAGCUUCAAGUCUGGCUAUAGGAGCAAAAGUUUCAUCAAAUUCAAUUCCUUCUUCUUGAUUGUAUCCUUGAACCACCAGUCUUGCCUUGUUUCUUAUGACUGUUCCAUGCUCAUCAACUUUAUUUCUGUACACCCACUUAGUCCCAAUGACUGAUCUAUCUUUUAGAAAAGGAACUAAGUGUCAUACUUUGCUUCUCUCAAAUUGGUUCAAUUCAUCCUGCAUAGCUAUGAUCCAAUCAACAUCAAGCAAUGCCUCAGUUACUUUCUUUGGCUCUAUCUCUGACAGAAAUACCUUGAAUGCACACAUACUUCUCAGUCCAGAUCUUGUGGUGAUACCAGAAUUGAGAUCAGUAAGUAUAUUCUCAAUGGGGUGUGAUCCUUGAUAUUUGUAUUCUUUUGGGAUCAAGCCAAGUGAGCUUCUAGGAUCACUGUUAUUGUUCUGAUGUGAGUCAAUUGAUGGCUCAGUUCCCUCUAUCACUGUGCCUUCAGCUUCAGUUCCCCCUGUGAAAAUGCCUUCAGGUUUGACUGUUUCAGUCGAUGGAACAUGUUGUGAAAGUUGUUCCUCCGUAUCGCUUCCAUCCUGCAGGUUAGUCUUAUCACAGAAUUUAUCAAAAAUCACAUACAUGUUUUCUUCAACACAGUUAGAUCUGUUAUUCAAAACCCUAUAGGCCUUACUAUGAAGUGAAUAACCUAAGAAGAUUCCCUCAUCACUUUUGGCAUCAAAUUUUCCAAGAUUAUCCUUACCAUUAUUGUGUAUGAAAUAUUUGCAGUCAAAAGUUCUAAAGUGAGAAAUGUUAGGCUUUCUACCCUUUAGUAACUUACAGGGAGUCUUGUCUAACAUUGGUUUGAUCAUGCACCUAUUUAUAAUAGAUGUUGCAGUACUCAUUGCCUCAGCCCAUAGGUUUUUGACAACAUUUGUUGCAAGCAUCAUUGUUCUAGCCAUAUCUUUCAAGGUUCUAUUUUUCCAUUCCACCACUCCAUUUUGUUGUGGUGUUCUAGGAGCUGAGAAGUUAUGGUCUAUUCCUUGUGAUGAACAGAAAUCUAAGAAUUUUGCAUUCUCAAAUUCUAUCCCAUGGUCAGAUCUUAUGAAAACUAAUCAAGUGCCCAAUUUUUUUUCCAUUUUCUUGAUGAAAAUUUCAAAGACAUUAAAGGCAUCUUCUUUAGAUGCUAGAAACAAGGUCCAGGUGAACCUGCAAUAAUCAUCAACAAUUACAAAAACAUACCUUUUUCCACCUCUGCUUUGUUGUCUCAUUGGUCCACACAAGUCCAGAUGGACCAAUUCAAGACACUUGGUAGUACUAACAUGGUUUUUUUGACUUAAAUGAAGAUAUUACCUGCUUCCCCCUUACACAAGCACUACAUAACUUUUCUUCCUUAAACUUGGUUUUAGGUAAUCCCAAUACCAUGUCUUUGGAUGAAAGUAUGUUCAGUCAUUUUAGACUUGCAUUCCAAGUCUUCUGUGCCAAAGGAGGGAAUCAGUUUCUAUUGCACUUAGACAGGUCAACUCAGGUCCUGGUAUUGCCAUUAAGUCUGCUUUGUAUACGUUUCUGUAUCUCCUUGCAGUAAGCACAAUUUCUUUAGUGUCCAUCCUUUUGACUUUAACCCCUACAACAGUAAAAAUUAUUUUAUUACCUUUCUCACAUAAUUGUGAGAUGCUCAGCAGGUUAUGCUUUAAGCCUUGCACUAAAUACACAUCCUGCACAACUUUUGAAUUUGAUGUGCCAAUUUUCCCAACUCCAGUAAUGAUUUCCUUUUUUCCAUUUCCAAAAGAAACUCCUCCUCCAUCUAUUUUGGAGAGUGAAAGAAACUUUUUCUUAUCGCCAGUCAUAUGUCUUAAGCAUGCACUAUCUAAGUACCAGUGCUUUUUGGUUCCCUUCACCAUCUCCUGCAAAAGAAAUCAAUGGUUAGAUUUAGGAACCCAGACAAGCUUAGGCCCUAUUUUGUUGGUAAAAGAAUGAAUUCUUUCUAGUCCAUGCAGGAAACACGUAACCUGACCUAUUUCUCUGACCAAUUUUAGUGCUUGUAUUUUUAGUCCGAGAAAAGUUUGUUGCUAGAUUCUGACUUCUAAUUUUGCUGUUGGCAGCCACAGGACAUUCAGUAGUAGGAUGUCCAAGAUUGCCACAGAUAUAGCAUAGAUCUUGUAGAUUAUUAGCCUUUUAAAAAAAAAAAAACUAAACCUACUUUUUCAUUAUGAUUUCUUUCACUCAACUGAUGAACAAUUCUUGAAGAAUUUGUCCAUCUGUUAGCUCUUUCCAAAUCCAGCUUUAACUUGGUAACUUCUUGACUUAGCUUAUUCAUUUUUUCAGUCAAAUCAUGACAUUCUAUUUGUACUUAGUUAACUCAAGUUCAGCCUUUUCUUAUUCUUUACUUAUGGCCUUUUUUCCAUUUUCAGUGAGAGUCAAUUUAAGAACUUCAGACUUAAGAUCAUUAUUUGAAGACUCAAGCAAUGUGACUUGGUUUUUGAGAGUGCAAUUUUCUUUUUCAACAGAAUAUUUACAAACUUUUAGAUCAAUGAAAUCAAAUUUUAGGCUUGCAAGGCUGUUGAAUAGUUCAUCCAUAUCAGAAGUUAAUUCUUGAAGAUUGUCAAUUGAAUCACUCAUCAAGGAAACAAAUCUAGUUUUAGAAAAUAGAUGUAGUUUUUCUUUGAGUUCAAGUAAACUUACCUCAGAAACAUCAUCUUCUUCCUUAAUGUCUGAAUCUCCAAAAUCCAUAAAUGUUGUCUCAUCAACUUCAUCAUCAUUAUCAGAGUCAGAUCCCCUUACAGCUAUCAUGGCAUGUUCUUCUUUUUCCUUUCUCUUGGCCCUUGCUUUUUGUUCCUUUUCAACCCUUUCAUUUCUCCACUCUAUUUCCCAGAGAGGACAUUAUCUGAUCUGAUGAUCAGUCUUUCCACACUUGUAGUAUCCAUUUGUAUUAUCAUUGGAACAUUUUUUGGUACCUGAUCCCUUCUUCUUCCUAAAAAACUUACUGAAAUUCUUGGUUAUGAAGGCAACUUGCUCCUUAUCAAGUUCAAAUUCAUCAUCACUAUCAGAAACUUUUAAAGCUAAGAUCUUCUCAGGGGCUUCUUGUUCUUUGAUUCCUUCAAUUUCCAUUUCAUAAGUCCUUAAGUUCCCUACAAGUUCAUCCAAAGUCAAGCCUUUAAGCUCUUUAUUUGCCUCCCUAAUUGCAGUCACCUUAACAUUCUAUUUUGAUUUAGGUAACACCCUCAGUACCUUUUCAACUUGUUCUUCCUCAGAAAUAACUUUUCCUAACGAAGUCAACUCAUUUGUUAAGGUGGUAAGUCUUGUCAUCAUCUCAUGAAGUGUUUCAUUUUCCUUUAUUUUGAAUGCCUCAUAUUCAGUAAACAGGAAAGCAAUUCUGAAUUUUCUUACUUGGAAAGUACCUUCAUGAGCAUUUACUAGUGCAUCCCAAAUUUGCUUAGCAGUAGUACAGGUGGAUACCAUGUUAUAUUCAGCUGGUCCUAGACCACAAACUAAGAUGUUUUUGGCCUUUGCAUUUUUCUUCAAAGCCAACAAGUCAUCAGGAGUAAAUUCACUUUUUACUUUCUUGACUUGUUCUCCAUCAACAGUCUUCAUUGGAAUAGUGGGGCCAUCAGUAAUCCUGUUCCAUAAUUCAUAGUCUUCAUCUUGAAUGAACAUCUCCAUCCUUGUUUUUCACCAGAUAAAAUAAGAACCAUCAAAGAGUGAAGGUCUAGUGGUUGACUGACCUUCACUGUGACCAGUAGGAGGUGCGGAAUUCAUCAUGUUGAUUCUUUUCUUAGGUGCUAGCCUUAUUUAACACAACCCGCUCUGAUACCACUUGUUAGAGUAUGCGUCCUACUAAUUGCCUAUCUGUGGAACAAGUAAGUAAACGUGGUUCACAGAAGUAAAACUGAACACAGUAUUUUUACGUGAAAAACACCCGGCUCAAGAAAGGUGUAAAAAGUCACGACCUAUACCUCUACAGGAUUUAACCCAACUUCACUAAAAUACUUAAGCCUCAACAAUCAACAAAAUUACAAGACUUCUUGUAACCUAGGAAUUAAAACUUCUAACUCCUAUCACUACAAAAGCACUAAUCUUCCCAAGAUAAGUGUUCUCAAGUCUUCGAGUUCCCAAACUUGAAGACAACAACUCCUAACUCAGUUUAUAGAUUACUGAGACUAGAAUCAAUAACUCAUUACAAUACAAGAACUUAGCUACUACACAGUUUAUGACCUACUAAGUAAGAGACUAGGUUCUUCUUCAAGUAUGUGAACUGAUAUGUUGAUUGUUGAUUCACUUUUCAGUGCAUGCGUGAGUCACUUGCUUUGUGUCACGUUUGUUGUAUUUAAGCCAACCUAUGAUAGAGUCUUUUUUCGUGUUCAAUUGUUUCUUCAGUAGAACUCUAUCAGUUAACUCUUUUCCUUUUGCUGCCGUCUCACCUGUCCUAGAUUUGAUAGGACUCUUUUACUUCAAAUCCUCUUCUUGCUGAACUACUUGAUCAACUUGACUUCUUCAAGACUCCUUGUUUGACUCAGCUUCUGAUGUGAUUUAUGUUAUCUAUGCUUGUCUUGUACGCAGAAUCAUAUCAUUCAAACUCCUGUGCCAGCUAAACUAUUUCACUUGAAUGGACCAACUUCUUCAACUUGUUUCAUUCACAUGUCUAUCAUCAAAAAUCCUCAUGCCUUAACACCUAUGUUGCUCGGACUCUUCAAAAAUGUCAUCCUCGGUGUGUCUGAUCUUUCAAAAAUAGGGUAUUUUUUGGAGAAUUCGAAGCGGAUGUGACAACAUUUUUGGAGAGUCUGAGCAUUUUAGUUGAAAUCAAUAUAUAUUGUUUGCAUAAGACGCUUAACGAAAAUCAUGUUGCGAAAAAUAUCAACCUAUCAACCUGGGGGUGUCAAAUAUAAAGCAGUUUUGAGGAAAAAAGUUGGUUCCUGAAUACUAAAGAUCGCAGCUCGGUGCACUAAGCAAUCCGCAUUCACAAAGGGUACAACGAACGACCGCACCAUUAAGUGAUGUGAUAUAUAGGCAGUCUACCUCGAUGCAAGCAGAUUCCACGGCUUGAACUCGAGAUCUACAGCUCCCACAUACGUAGUCAACUUUGUUGUUGCUCCAAGGCUUCACUUCUGUUUUGAAAUCUAUGGUCAAACGCCUACUAAGUUCUUAAAUUUCAUUUUUCUUAAAUUACCUUUUCAGCUCAUUAAUUUUGAGACACCUAAUUAUUGUAAUUCAUUACUUUUUACCUAGUCUACUAGUUUUUGUUUACAGUGUUUCGGUCACACUAUUUCAUUGUAAUUGUUUUUUACUAGUCUACUACUACUUUUUGUUUACUGUGUUUAGUUCACACUAUUUCAUUGUUGUUACUGUUCUUUUUUUGAAAUUGCAUGCAUUCCUUAUUAGUUGUCAUGUUUUCUUUAUUAUGAACAUAUUUCGUUUUUGGUAACUACUUUGAUUUACGACGCUUGAGCCCCGAGUUCUUCAGUGUUAGGAUCGAGAAUUUCGGAUAGUGCGGAACUAAACAAAGUAAUCGUUUGAAGACGAUAACAAAACGAUAAUAACGAUAAGUUGAAAAAAUAAAGGAGACACAAAUUUAAUGUGGUUCGGUCAACUUGACCUACGUCCACAACCAAAAGGAGAAGCAACUUCACUAAAACACCAACGGAAUAAAAGAAGUACAAAGAUACAAAAGAGAGUAUAAAAUUAGAGUAAUUAAAUACUCUAAUAGCCCAAAUACCCAAAAGAAUAACCUCGCAAAGAUCACUUCAAAGUAGAGGUUCACUCAAAGUAUUUUCCAACACAACUCUCUUACAAAUACUCUCUACAAAGAAGAAAACAAACACAACUAAAUCUUCUUCAAAAGUUGGUGUUCUUCUCUAAAUGGUAUAUUCCAAAGAGGGUGGAAAUGCCUCUAUUUAUAGGCACAAAACAAACCUACGUUGAUGUCAUCAAUGACAUCAACACACUACUUUGCCAACCAAAUUUGACAAGAAAACAACUUGCAUGCAAUGUUGAACUAGCCAACCAAAUUUGACAAGAAACAAAUUGCAUGCAAUGUUGGACCAGCCAAUCAAAUUUGACAAAGUCAAUAAAUGAUCUUGCAAGUGCUUGGUAGCAACUUUGUUUAACCAAGUAUGAAUUCAAGAAACAAACAAAAGGCCACAUUACAUUCAGAAAAUAGUCUCUCUGCCUACACGAGGUAGGGAUAAUCUGGUCAAAAGAGGGAUUACAUCCAACUUUUUUAUGGCUUUCAUUGUGUACAAGGACGUAAAAUAUAAAAGACAACUUUUUUUACUUAUUCCUUGGCAUCUUCUUGUUGUUAAAUUCUACAAGAAUUAUUAUCCUAUAUGACUUGUUGUCUACGUUUCUUUGAAAAGAUCGAGGACUUUGUUUUAUUAAAAUGAAUUUUUGUCACCACAAACGUCACAUUUCAAUGAUAUUCUGUUAUAUAACCUUAGACAAAUGUAAACAACUGUACCAGAAAAUUAUUAAAAUUCUAUUUUACACCAAAGAAUUAUAUAUGGAAAACUUGAAGAAUGAUUGUCAUGUUCUUCUUGUAACAUUUCCAGGUCAAGGUCACAUUAAUCCAUCUCUUCAAUUAGCUAAAAGAUUAGUUAAUUUAGGAAUAAAAGUCACUUUUUCUACUAGCUUAACAGCUUUUCAUCGAAUUUCCAAGCUUCCAAAUAUAGAAGGAUUAAGCUUUGCUCCUUUUUCUGAUGGCUACGAUGGAAAACUUAAUGUGUCAGUUGGUGAAGUCGAUUCGUUCUAUUAUUCAAUAGUGAGUCACGGUUCUGAAUUCGUGACUCAGUUGACAGAAUCCAGGGCGGCUGAGGGCCACCCUUUCAGUCGUAUCAUUUACACGACCCUUAUGGGAUGGGUUGGUAUAGUGGCUAAGGGACUUAAUGUCCCUUCCACAUUUUAUUGGAUCCAACCGGCGGCGGUGUGGGACAUUUAUUAUUAUUGUUUCACUGAGUAUGCUGAUUAUUUCAAGAAUUGUUCUCAUGAUCAAGUCGUAGAGCUUCCAGGAUUGCCUCGGCUAAGUCCUCGCGAUUUUCCCUCGUUUGUGUUUGCUGAUGUGAAUUCUACCUAUGGUUGGGGAGUUAAAUCUAUCAUAGACCAAAUUGAGCUAUUGAAUAGUGAAGGAAAUCCAAGAGUACUUGUGAAUACUUUUGAUGAUUUGGAGUAUAAUGCUUUGAGAGCAUUGAAGAAUUUAGCUAUGGUUGGAGUUGGCCCUUCGAUUCCAUCGGCUUUUCUUGAUGGUCAUGAUCCUUUUGACAAGUCAUUUGGAGCUGAUAUGAGAUCGAGUUCGGAUAGUUACAUGGAUUGGUUGGAUUCGAGGGCAAAUGAAUCAGUUAUUUACAUUGCAUUUGGUAGUUACUCUGAGAUAUCAAGUCAAUCGAUGGAGGAAAUAGCUCAAGGGUUGGUAAAAUGUGGGAGGCCAUUUUUGUGGGUGAUUAGGGAAGGGAAAGAAGGGGAAAAUCAAGAAGAAAAGUUGACAUGUAAAGAGGAAUUGGAAAAACAAGGGAGAAUCGUGCGAUGGUGUUCGCAAGUGGAGGUGUUACAACACCCUUCUUUAGGUUGUUUCUUGACUCACUGUGGUUGGAAUUCGACUUUAGAGAGCCUGUCUUCUGGCGUGCCGAUUGUGGCAUGUCCGCUGUGGACCGACCAAAGUUGCAAUGCUAAGCUCGUUCAAGAUGUUUGGAAGAUUGGCGUCAGAGUGAAUGCGAAUGAAAAUGGUGUCGUCGAAAGAGAUGAGUUUAGGAGGUGUAUAGAGAUCGCGAUGGAAGAUGGAGAGAAAAGGGAGGAGCUUAAGAAGAAUGCCAAGAAAUGGAAGGAUUUAGCUAAGGAAGCUUUGAAGGAAAAUGGUUCAUCAAAUGUAAAUCUCAAAGCUUAUGUUAAUGAGAUUUUACUUGGUCAUUAAGGCCAGUUCAGUGCCCAAAAUAUUUCGCCUUCUUGCAGUAGGGUCCAUUUCAUUGGUAUAAAUAAAAAGAAUAAAUUGAGUAUCGUCCUUGUAAUACGUACCUUAGCCUAUAUGUUACAUGUACGUAGCUAAGUUUUUGUUAUAGUGGUUUGUUUUAGUACUUUGAGAACGAUGGACACAUGAUAAUUUCUGUUGAAAUGUGUUAGGUGUAGAAAACUCAGCUGGGAGAUAUCAUAGUCACACUAAUUUAGAUUAAAAAACACAUUCAAAAAGUUAAGUAAUCACUUGUAAGAGUAUAUGCCCUACUGAUAUCUUAUUUUAUCCUAAUAAUUGCCUAUUAAUGGAACGGGUUAACGAACGCGUUCGUAUCUGGACAAAAUAAAUCACAUGGUGAUGUUUACAUGGAAAACACCCGACUCAAAGAGGUAUAAAAAAUCACGACCUGUACCUCUACGGAUUUAAUUCCAACUCCACUGAAACAACUGAGCCUCAACAAUCAACAAAUUACAAUACUCUUGUAAACUAGGAACUAAACCGUAACUCCUAUUUCUACAAAACAUAAACCUUCCUAAGGUGAGUGUUCUCAAGUGCUCAAGUUCCCCAACUUUAAGACAACAAUCCUACCUCAGUUUAUAAUCCACUGAGACUAGAAUUAAACUGACAAUACAACUAAAAACCAAUCUAAUACAUAAAGUCUAGGACUCCUUAACUCUAGGUACUAGGAACAGGUUCAAUGAUGAUAUCUUCAAGUUGGUGAUUUGCACAGAAAAUUUGUCGAUGUGUUGCUUUCUUUGUAAGUGCAUAAGUGACUAACUGAGUCACUCCCUCGAUAUAAAAACAACUCUGCAAAGAGUCCUUCAAUGUCAUCAGUUUUCUAUCUUCCUUUGGACUCUUGUUGUUUAUUCAAAGUCCCUUUUCAACCCAAUCUCCUUCACUGACUAAAAAUCUUUCUUCAGCUUAUCUUCUUCUUCUUUCGCACGUGAUCAAGAGAGCUUAUCCAUUCCUGUCUUCAAGCGAACUUGUCUGCAUAUCCUAGUGAGAUCUGGCCCCUUUCCUCAUGUGAUUGGACCAGCUUGAGUAACAUGUUUCAUUUACAUGUCAAUCAUCAAAACUUCAUUGAUCUAACAACACUUAUUCGCGUUGAAGCUGCUAAUUAAUAAGAGGCAACAGGACAAUGUAUUUGUACGAAAAUAUUAACGUGGGUACAAAAUUGAUGUUGAAGAUGAAGAUGCUGCAGAGGCUGUUGUGUUAUAUGAAGAAUCAGUGUUGUCUUUAUUCACUGAAUGCUGGAUUUGGGCAUUAGGUGGGAGGGUGGGCAAUGAAGCUUCAAAAUU